rnacentral:lncRNA from 1 species
AGUGCUUUCAGGUUAUCAUGCUCAACCAAUAGCAUCAAGUUAUCAUUCUUCAGCUUCUGGUUUUCUUCCAACAAGGUCUGCACUUCUUUCUCAGCCUGUUGGGCCUUCUCAACUUCUACUGAUAGGAGGUUGCAUUUGUCCAUUGUUUCAUUCAGCUUAUUCCUCAGAUCUUCCUUCUCCUUCUCCAUGUCUACAAUUAACAUCUUCAGGUUAUCUCUCUCUUCUUCAAUAAUCUUCUUCUCACAAGACAAUGUUGUGACCUCAGUCUCCUUGGAUUUUACGGUGUUAAGCAAUUUUCCUUCCUCCCUUUUUGCAGUUUCAACUAACAAUUUCAUAUUUUCAUUCUCAGAUGACAAAUUUGCAAUCUCUGAACUUGUAGCUUCUUUAUCUUUGAUUGCUUUAUCAAUUAGCUGCUUCAGAUCAGAUAUUUCCUUGGCCUGUUCUUCUGUACUUUGUUUCAGCUUCUCAAUCUCUGCUUCCAUGUUAUGAUGCUCAGUAGGCUUAUGGUAUAGGUUGUUUUCUUCCUUCACUGCUACUUUUGGUGCAGUGACAUCAUUGUCUGAGCUGUCUCCUUCUGUGUCUGAAUCAGAUGAAUCUGAACCAGAGAAAUUGUAGCCAACAUUUUCUAGUUUGCUAAUUAGUUGCUUGUAGUGCUUGUGAAGGUAUUGAUAGUCCUCAUGGAAGCCCCUCACAAGGGAAGACAGCUUUAAUUUCUUGACAGGAUUUCCAUAAUCAUCUUUUUCAUUCUCAGUCUGCUCGGUCUCCUCUCCUAUCAUUCGCAAAAUGUUCUCCACAUUCUCAUCAACAUCUGAAAAACCAAAAUAGCAACUAUUGUUUUCAGACUAUGACUCGCUAGAAAUAGGAUAGCUAUAAGUUGAACAAGCCAGAAUUCUUCUUGAAAAAUGUAACUAUAGCAAUGCCAAAAAAACACUUUAAUGGUGAAAUACGAACAUAUAAGACUCAUUCAUGUUCGGUGGGUAUUGGAAUCACGUUGAGAUCAGCCACAAGAAUGUCAAAAAGGAACAACAGUAGAUCAGUAGGAGUUUUCAUCUAUGUAGAAACUGCACUUCGAGAUCUCUAUGCCAACAUAAAAAUUCCUUUGAGUAAAUAUUAGUCAUGAAUUAAGACAGUACCCUUUUUGCUCUCAAGAAGAUACUUGGAUUUCCUAAUUUUGUGUUUCUUUGUCAUAAUGGCGUUCUUGUCUCCACAAGCUUUACUAUUUCUUUGCAGGAAAUCUUUCUCAGACAAAAUUGAUCAUAGCUGAGGUCGUAUGAUGCUGCAAUCCUGAAUAGCUUUGCGCCUGAAAUGGUUAAAAAAACACAAAGACAAUGAAUGGGAAGUCAUCUGUGGAUAGUAUCUAAUCUUAAAUAGCAAAAUUAUCGAAAGGAAGAUGAAGAUAAAAAAAACAGGUGGUUCAAUAGAAACUAUUUAACUAGUUAAUGAUUGAAAAAUAUCAUCUGCACUUUUCACACAAAACAACUGAAUAAGUAUAAAUUGGAAAAGAUGGAAGCCCCUCUGAAGGGGUAUAUAUAACCAACUUUUGCAAAAUAGGAGUUGAAUGUACAGCUAUAUUUCCAGAGUGCACAGAAAUAUUAAUUUGUGAAGCUUAUAUCCAGAAUUUGGAGCCUAAGUUAGUAGCAGCAGUAACCUUUAAUGCUCUUGCACUAAGACGAAGUAGAAUGGCAAGCAUUUCAAGCAUGGAUCGUAUAUCCUAUAACUAAAUAUGCACUUCAAAUUAUAAAGUAAUAUAAUUUACGUCAUAAGGUCUUGAUUAAAAUUACAAAUAGUUGUUUCUCUGCAGGCCCGUUGUUAUGUCAUGAUCUCCUUCAUUUGUAUGCGGUAAUAUACAGCAUGGAUCGUAAGUGGUCUAUUAAUCAAAUAAUUGAUAUGGCCUCUAAAAGUUUAAAACGUCAAUUUUGACCCUCUACCAGGAAUAUUUCCAAACAUAUGCUAUAUCAUGAUUUUUAGGACAAUUUCAUUAUAUCAUGCUUAACAACAUUUGGGUAAGUGGAAAUGUAAUCUCAGUGAUAAAUAGGCAGAUAAGAUGCCAUGGUUGGUGACCUGGAAGACAAUCACUUGUAAAAUCAUUACAUUUUUCAUUUUGGAUCUUGACAAAUUAUGCUUGGCAGGAAAAGUUUUUUUUAUAAACUACAACAGUAUACCCAUUAACAGUAUAUAUUGAGACUAAGGUACUUCUUUUAGAUAACAAACAAUGGUACUUGUGGAAGACACUUUGGAGGCUCAUAUCUGUUGCAUUAUCUUAGCUUUGUAAUAAGAAAGAAGACAGUCUUGAUGAUUUUGCAAAGAUUGCUGAUAAACACAUCAAUAUUUAUAGAUUCUUCUAUGCCAAAAAAAAAAACAAAGCCAUCUCAAAACCAGAUUCUGACUGAGCUAAAUUGCAAUGCAUGGAUGAGUACAUUAUAAAACGUUUGGUCCAGUUCCAUCCGCCAAAGUUGCGUGGGUGCCCAAAAUUUACAAACCUUUUGGGCAGCAUAACUUCAGACAUAUCUAAAAUGCAUAUGGGUAGGCCAUAGUGAGCCAUGCUGAGUGUCAGCCUUCUGCUAACAGAAGUAUAACAUGGUAGUAUCUUCGGCCUGGAACUAUCAUGGUCUCUGUUGGAAACAGUACACAUAUGCGAUCUAAUUGGGGAAAUAGCAGCCCGAAGGAAUUUUUGUCAUACGAAAUCAAUAAACAUCACGAAUGUAACGACACGCGGGACCCGACCAGUGCUGAAACAGUUAGGAAACUAAUCCAAGAAGAUAGAAUUAACAAGUGACGAGUGCUAACCACUCCGCUAAUAUAUUCAGAUAUCAAGGAAGGGAGAAAAGGAAAAAAAACAUGAAAAACAAGAGAAACAAAGGCGGAGGUUAGGAACAGAGAAAGAGAUGCUUAUGACACUUAACGCUUAUUCUAAUCUAGCAUCUCCCUCACUCUAUGCCAGUUGCCAGUUGCCACAUCAGAACGCACACGACCAGGGGAAGAUUUGGGCCUAGGGCCACGACCCUAGGCGUGGCCCAAAUUGCCCCUUAUACCUCUCCUACAUUUUCCAUGACCCAGCUAGCAUUUCUGUGGACUGGCCUAGGCGUCGCCCAGCAGGCAGGCAGGCAAGCAGCCAGCAAGGGCAAAGGCCCACGCAGCCCAAGUUGUACAGGCACAUGUUGACCCGGGAAUCCUAUCUAUCUUUCGGAAGGUGGGACUAAUGUUUUUCGUGCGACCUAUCAGAUUAUGCGUGGUUCGAGGUGCGUGCGGAGCAGCAGCGUGCAGCCGUGCAGGGACAGGUGUCGUGUCGCAAGUGGAGGGAAGUGGGUGGGAUUCGAACGAGAUUUCCAACUAAUCGUGUUUUCUGGUUCAGAUCCAAUUUGAAAUCCGUUUGAACCAUAGCAAUUUUUUAAAUUAUUGUAACAGAACGAGGUUCAGUAUGUUAUUUUACAUUUUUUUAGUUUACUAUUUCAACAUUUUUAAUAUAUCUUUUCAACAUUUAAUAUAAUAUAUCAACAUUUUUAAUACAUCAUUCAACAUUUUUAGUACAUUGUUUCAACAUUUAAUGUAAUAGUUAAAUAUUUUUAAUACAUCAUUUCAACAUUUUUAGUAUACUGUUUCAAAUAAUAUAUUAUUUCAACAUUUUUUUUAGAAAAUGAUGAAAUGCCGCCUGACCGGCUAACGGCAUCGUGCAGUCGUGCCCUCGCCACUCCAUGCAACUGCGCGUCCCGGAAUCCCGAUGCUGCCCUCUUUGCCUGCUCUCUCUCUCUCUCCCUCUCUCUCCCCCUCUCUCUCUACAGUCUCCACGGUCUCUCCCUCUCAACAAAUCCGGAAAUCCGCAUCAGCGACCGACAGUAGAGCGGCAGCGCACAGCCUUCUCAGAGGAGUGGAUACUCAAGGCUGGUCCCGCGGCACCUGAGGCUGGCGUGCGUGUGCGGCCGCGCGCUAUUGCCGGCACGCCACUACGGUGGCGCCAUGCAGCCGGGUUCGGCAAGGUGGGAACGUGCGGGCGCCAGUGCACUCGUGCGGUGCGCGAGACACAUGCGGCAGGUCCAUGCUCCAUCCUUUAUUAAUUCCUCCUCGUCUCCCCAAUCCUUUCUAUUUCAAUUGAACAAAUUUAAUUAAUUUGUUAUUUAUGCUGCAAUUUGUGGGCUUCUACAGUUAUACUAGAAUUACUCAAUGAAGAGGAAAUAGAAACAGAAGGAAUGGGUGCUACCAGUAUAAGUACUUGUCGCUAAUACUGGGCUAUGCAUUCCCCAUUAUCCUUUUUCACAAAUUAACUGUACUUUGCAUUUUCCUUGCCUAAUUCAUUUGAACAUAUGAUAGGUGUGGACGGACCAAAUCAGCACCAGUUAGGUAUUUUUUGAAAAUUUCCAAGUUUUUAUUGAGUUCAUUAAAAAAUUAGGUUUGGAAUUAAGACUACUAGUCCAUCAACCCGUGCUCCCGCACGGGCUAAUGUUUUUAAAGCCAUCGUAUUUAAAAAUUAUUUAAAAAUAAAUUCCUAACUAAUAAUCAAAAUUGUUUACCUACGGGCAUUAUCAUUUUUUCAAUACUUCAACAUAAUACUCAUAUAGGUAUGUACUUAUCUUUGCCUAGCUGUGAUUGAUUUUUAAUUAAUAGUUAUCCUAUACACUUUUUCAUUCACAUUCACACUUUUUUCAUCUUGUAUCGCACCUCUAUACAUUAUGUUUAGCAUAAAAAUCAAUAUUUUUCAUCAAUUCCUCACAUACAUGUAUAAAUGGUCUAAAUGGUGACACUCAUCAUGUGCAUAUACUUUAACUUAGUAUUUCUAUAUUCACAGCAACAUAAAUAGGUAAUUUAGAAUCAUAUAACAUUUCUUUAUUAUGCACGUGAAGAUAAUUAGAUUAAGAUUUAGGUAUUUACUUUAGGUUAUUUUAAUAACAAGGGUAACUAAGAUACAAAUUACAAUAGCAUUUUAAGUUAUGCUUUAUAUAAUGAUAUGUAUGAGUAAAUUGGAUGAAAAUUAUGAGGUUAUUUUAGAUUAUUUUUUAUAAUGGCCGAGCUUGAUAAUUUACAUAUAAAUUUGGAGUUUAUUUUUGAAUAUUUUCAUAAUGAUAGUGGUGGGUAAAUAUUUAGAAAAUAUAAUAGAUCAAUGAUUAUGAUUAUUAGAGUUUAUAGGAUUGAUAUGUUUUUAUUUUUGUGAGAAUUUCUAUUUGUCCUUUUUUUUCUACCGUGCCUCAUGGGAACUAAUACAGAGUUUCCAAUAGAAAAAAAUAAGACCACAUUGCUACAAAACUUGAGCUACCUCUUAUUUGUUAAAUAUUCGAACACAAUACUUAUAUAGAUAUAUACUUAUUAUCUUCAUCCGAUUGUGACAGAUAUUAGUUAGUGAUUACUCUAUAAUAUUUUCAUCCACAUUUAUAAUAUUUAACUUUUCACUUUACAUCACAUGUAUGCGCUUGCAUUUGAUUAAUGGACCCUAAUUUUGAGCCAUAAUUUUAACAUAGAAAUCUAUAUUUUUAUCACUUCCUUUAUAUCUUUAUAAAUGGUGACACACAUCAUGUAUAUCUUAAUUAUUAUAUCAUAUACCAACGGUGUAAGAAAUAUAUGAUUUAGAAUCAUAUAUUGAUGUAUAUUUUUAAUUAAGGUGAUUUGGAUUCAAAUGCAGGGUUACCUCAUGUUAUUUUUGAUAAUGGCAUACAUGGGUAACAUAGAUGCAAAUUUAAGGAAUUACUUUAAGUUUUUUAAGUAUUAGUGGUGGGUAAUUUAGUUACAAAUUUAGGGGUUAUUUUAAAUAUUUUUAUAAUGGUAUAAGUGGGUAAUUUUGAUAGGGGGCUAUUUUAGUUAAUUUUAUAUAAUGGCAGAGAUGGGUAAUUUAGAUAUAGAUUUAGGGGUUAAUUUAGACUAUUUUCAUAAUGGUAUAGUGGAUAUUUUUUUUAGAAAAUAUAAUAGAUUCAAUGGCUACGAUGAUUUGAGUCUACCGACAGAUGUUUUGCUUUUUUUUUAUGAAUUUCUAGAUUUCUCUCUUUUCUAAGAGUGUCCACCUAAGAACCACAGGUGGCUUUACCUGGAGGCUUCAAAAGAACUUCCAAUUAGUGAUAGUAAGAUACUCUAAAAAGCAUAGCAUGCAUUUGAUAUUUUGCUGCUGUGACUAUCGCUAUGGGAGCUAAUCUGGGUGGUUCAACCGCUUAGAUAAGUGGCCCUAGGCGUAGAAAUCUGCCAGCUCCGCCACUGCACACGACCCAACAUAGAUCCAUCCAAGAACACACACAGCCAUACGGAAAUUUCUCCACUACCGCAAGAACAGUAAUAUCACAGCAGCACACCCAGAUAGAGAAAUGAGGAACUGGAGGGAGAAAAUAAGUGGGAAAAUCAAGAAACGUACCGCCGAAGUGCCGCCUUCUCCUCCUCUACAGCUAUCUCCCACAACUUCUUGAACCCGAAACAAGAUCUGACAAAGACGAAAAGGAAACCAAGCAUGAUCAAAGAUGGCACACCACAGUUGCAAUUGCAAGUAGGAAAAGCAGAGAGACCUGUCACCUGCCAGAUCAAAACAGGGGAGCACGCCCCCAACAAAAAGAGACGAAAUGAAACCAGACCAAGGCGCAAGAGGAGCAGAGUUACCUGAAGGCUAGGAUGAAUCGCUUGCUCGACGAAGCAAGCAGAGGCCGCAGAGAACCUGCCCCAGAGGCUUCUUCUCCACUAGGCUCUGGCUCUCUGAUGUGUGGGCAGCGUUACAAAUGCGCACAACUACACAAGUGAGCAACUCUCGCCUUGUCCUUUUGAAGCCUCUGCAGCAUCUACCUGAGCGCGGCCUGCCUUUUUGUGAUUUUGUAUCGUCCAUGUCUCGUUUUGUCUCUGCGUUCCCGCCUUAACGCUAGGGAGCCAGGAUCUUCUACUUCAGGACUCAGGACAUAGGAAACGUAACUCAUGGACCCAUGGGCAAAAGCACAAGUACAGAAGCGCUAGAAUGCAUUAGAAUAUGCUCUGUUUGGUAUGGCUCCAACUUUGGGUGGAGCUGCUCCACUCCAGAAUUUCACAUGGAGCCAGCUCCGCUCCAAAACUCCAGAACAAAAAUGGGAUGUUUGGCUAGAUGGGUGCUCUCAGCUCCAAAAAAGAUCGAUUUCAGUGUGGAUUGCCAUUGUUGCCCCCCAAUUAAGGCUCCACUUGUCAUCCUCUCUAUCCCAUCUUCUUCUUCCCCUUUUUCCACUGCACUGUGCCGCACACGGGAGACCCUCCACGGGCGGCGGCGUGGGCGGCGGGCGGCGGGGUGGGCGGCGACGGGCGGCGGGGCAGCUUGGGCGGCGACGGGCGACGACCGGGCGGCGGGGCUGGCCAGCCACGGGGGCGGCGACGGGCGGGGCUCUGGCGGCGAGUGGGGCUCGGGAGAAUAGAAGGGAGAAUAGAAUGAAAUAUUUUUUUUGUAACCAGUGGUAUUGGUGGGUAAUUACCCACCAACUCCACGAGGAGGUUCAAAAGAGAGGUUUCUGGAGUAGCAAAAGAGGUGCUCCAAAACUCCACCUCCAUUUGCACUACAGCUCCAUGGAGUUGGCAACUCCAUGGAGUUUUGGAGUUGGGGUGUUUGGCUGAAUUUUUUGAUGGAGUUGCUGGAGUUUAGGAGUGGAGCCGUGCCAAACAGGACCAUAAACCUUUUUGGUAAAUUAUCAUGAAACCAUUUUUUCUAUUCCACACACGCAAAAAAAAGAAAAUUCUUCAAACCAUGUAUAUGCAAAAUCCGUCCUACAUAACCUAGGGUCAAUAUGGAAUAGCCAUGCUCUUUUAGCAUGGGUCUCAGUAUGUUAACAUGUGUAUAAACGUCACAUUCAUCAAGCUAAGCUAUUGUAGUCUUGCAGUAAUUUGCUAUGAAAAACACGGUUUGAGGUAGAAUUGUUUCAAAAAUGGUAUAGCAAAAUACGAGUCUCAGCUUUUUCUCUACAUAUCCAUUUUGUUUAAAAAAACGAGUCCCAGUCAUAGGAUGAUCUUCUAGAUUAAAUAUGAAUAAAGCCGUUUACUGUGAAUUGCAAUGACCUUUCAAAAAGGCUCGGUUCUUAGACGAUGGAAGGUGGGAUGAAGAGCGGCAGCAUUCCGUGCCACUCUCUUCCUCAUGGAGACAAUCAUUGGUCACGUUUCUUUGUUGAAAAAAAGUGUACUUUUCUUCCCUCAAAUAUUGCAAAAGUGUAAUAUUCAUCAUUCAUGUUUCAUUUGGUGCAAAUCAAACCCUUACCUAACUAAACCGGUGCAUUUAUCAUCCCACCUUAAUUCAACAAUGGUUUAGUGUUAUAUAAUAUCAGUUUUGCCCAUGUAAUCUAGUCCCUGCUUAGCAGCGUCUGAUGUUGAGUCAAUCGGUAUAAUAGUUCGGUGUGAAUCCAUUCCAUUGAUUUUCUGAUAAAUUUUUAUGGGAUAAGCAAUUUAGAGGAUUUUUGGUUUUUUUGACUUUAUAUAUUCAACUCAUCAUAUUACACGCUAAGCAUGGAUUAGUCAGAUGAUUGUGCGGCAUAAACCUCCGUUAUAUAGCACUUAACCACUGUUAGAUUAAGUGGGAUGAUAAAUGCACCAAUUUGGUUAGUUAACGGGUUGAUUUGCACCAAAUGAAAUAUGAGAGGUGAAUGUCACACUUUUGCAAUACAUGAGGAUGAAAAAUACACUUUUUCUUUUUUUUAAUGCCACCAUCAUUGGUCAUGUUUGUGGCGCAAUGGUGGGACCUGACGAGGACGGCCUCCUUCAUUUUCGUCCAUCACAUAGUGCGCGGCUUUGCUUUUGUUCCUGUUGCCUGCCCGGGAAAGAAUCUUUUGGGGUUUCAGCACCGUGGACUCCAUGCCGUUCACUGUGUUUACGACUUGUCAAUCGGUGCAAUGACGAGACGCAUAAUGGUAAUAAACUGUAACCUUUUAUGCACGUCAGACAAACAAUGUGAGAACCAUAUGCAUAUGCAGUAUGAUGACAAUAGGAAAAGGAGAAGCGCAGCCGUUCACUGCGUUUACGACUUGUCAAUUGCACCACGAAUAGGAAAAGGUGAAGCGUAGCCGUUCACUGCGUUUACGACUUGUCAAUCGGUGCAAUGACGAGACGCAUAAUGGUAAUAAACUGUAACUCUUUGUGCACAUCAGAUAAGCAACGUGAGAACCAUAUGUAUCUAGAGCAUGAUGACGAAUAGGAAAAGGCGAAGCGCAUGUAGCAGUCAAGCAUCUGAUAGGAACUCAUUUUCCCUUUCUUUUUUUUUUGAGCCUCUGAAGCCUGAUGGUAACAGUUUGUAACGACAUGACGAGAUGCAUGCAACUGAUGUGGACAAUGUGGACGAGUAUGACGACUCAUAAAAUAAAGAGAUUGCUGUUUGGAGAUAAUGUAGGAAUUUGUCCGGUGUAGAAUUUUGAGAAAAAAAGAAAACCUGAUGCUGGUUUCCUUGGAGCAGAAAAAUUGCAACAUGGGAGCCAUAGGAGAGAGCUGAUUCCUUUUAGGGAGGCGGGCUGUGGAGGAGCUACAGAUAAAAAUUGGUGUGGGCAUCACACUGCGCCUGACCCCAAUAUUCCUUCCGAAUUCCGAUUGGUGGUUCAGAUCUCAGCAGCGCCGAUCGAUCGAUCGACCGACCUGUAACGGAACCGGGACGUGGACGGAGCAUGCGACCGUGACCUGUGGGGGCUCCGAUCCGUUGCCUCUGUAGUCUGUGCGGGGGGUGCGAGACAAGACGGCAUGCACUGUGCGAGCAUGUUAGCUGCAGCGCCGGUUGUACAUGCCUCCGUCGCCUAUACAGCGAACCGAAGCCGGAUAGACGAGAUGGAAUUUUUUUAUUUUUAUUUUUUUUACAAUUUUGCAGAAAUAAAUAGCGGAGGAAAAAAUUAGCAAAUAUAGACGUAUGCCGCCAGAUGAAACGGUGGUAAAGCUGGAUAGACGAGAUGGAAAUUUUUUUUCAUUUUUAUAUAUUUUUUUACGAUUUUGCAGAAAUAAUAGCGGAGGAAAAAAUUAGCAAAUAUAGACGUAUGCCGCCGGAUGAAAUGGCUACCGCCGUUUCAACCGGCGGUAAGAAAAGUUACCACCAUUUCAGCUGGCGGUACAUAUGCAACGAAUAAAAAAAAUCGGAAACGGGGUGUCACGUCAACAACCUUACGACACCGUGGCGCCAGGUCAGCACGCGGAAUAUUAGCAACCGAGGAGCCCACUGACUUACCGCCGGAUGAAACGACAGUAGCUGGUUACCGCCGGAUGAAGCAACGGUAACAACCUUCCAUCGAUUCAAACGACGGGAGUGGGAAGAUCCUGCCAGAUCAGUCAACGGUAGGCAUCCCCACCCUUUAAAACGCAAAGAACGGCCGGGGCUGAGCCAGAGGUGCGUGCCGGUUCAUUCGGGGAGAAAGAAGAGAAAGUGAGGGAGGAGAGGAGAGGAGGGGAGGAGGGUGGAGAUUGAAGCGAAGCUCUACCGGAUUUGCUCUUCGCUUCAGGUAUUAUUUGAAAUCUCGCAGUUUAUCUUAACUUGUAGUUAGUAGAUGUAGUAGUCGAUGUGAUUUAUAAAUGGUGUAGUGUUAAGUAUUAGAUCAAAUCUAGGUGUACAUAUGAGAUAGACAAAUAUAAGUUGAAUUUAGCUUAGUUAUUUUGGUUAAAGUAAAUUUAGUUUGUUGAUUUAUUUAGAUAACUUUAAGAUUAAUAUUAUUGGAAAUGUACGAGUUAUAAUUUUAUAUAGUUAUUCAGAAUGUAGGUAUUUUUAGGGUUAGUUCAAAUUAAUAACAUUUAGUAAUAAUGUCAUUCAUGUCGUGUAUAAUUUUAUAUAGUUUUUCAGAAUGUAGGUGUGAUUAGGGUUAGUUAAAUUUAUUAAUAUUUAGUAAUGAUCUCUCUUGAUGUCGUGUAUAAUGAUAGGGUAAAGUAAAAUUAAUUUGUUGAUAUAUUUAGAUAACUCUAAAAUUAAUAUUAUUGGCAAUGCACGAGUUAUAAUUUUAUAUAGUUUUUUAAAUGUAGGUGUUGUUGGAGUUAGUUAAAAUUAAUAACAUUUAGUAAUAAUAUCUGUUCAUGUCGUGUAUAUUGAUAGGCAUGUUAGACAAUUUAUUUUUCCAAGUGUUCUAUGGUCCGGGGGAGGUUAGAUAUGUUUCAGAAGGGGUAGAUUUGUCUGAAUUUAAGUCGUUCUGGAAACAAGUACCAAGAGCAAGAGAGAAGACUUGGGCAUCAAUAUGCAAUUGGCUAUUUAAAUCUUUCAAGCUUGAUAGAGAUCAAGUUGAGCUGUCUGUUAGGGCUGUAGUGAGGUUUCGAACUAAUAUAAUAUUUUAGGAGUUGAUUGUAACAACUCUCCCUAAAUUAAGUGCUUUUAACUAUAAAACAGUGAUAAAUCCCUAAUUAAAGAAGUGAAAUGACCUUUAUAACCCUAAGAAGAUUUUUUUGGAGUUUGAAAUAAAGCUUGAAAUUUUAUAUACAAACUUAAGUUUCUGCCCAAAGGAGAGUUUUAAAACUUUUUAAUUCAAACAUCUUUUGUUAAAGGCACUUUGACUAAUUCGGAGUGGAAGGGAGUCAAAAACAGCAAUCAAAACCGGUUUACUAAAGGACCCUAAAAAUCUCUUUAAGUCCUGGAAUUCGAGUUUUCCUCCAUCUUUGUAAGCUUUCAUCUCACAAAUUCCUAUCUAAACUUGAGUCAGGGCCUUAAUGAAAGUUGUAGUACCUCGAGUGUGUUCCAACCUUGUUACACUGACCCAGAUCCAAAUCGGGCCCGAACCUGUCCAAAACCCCGGUCAAAGUGAGGUAAAACAGUCAACUCACCCCUGAUGCCUUAAAAUCCUAAGUCUGAAAUUCCAGAUUUUUGGCUAACUUUGGCAUGAAAUAUCUUUGAAUCCUCUCACAAUCUAAACCGACACCUUCAACAAAGUUCAAAGAACGUCCAGACUUGAGCAAGUUUGUUUAAAAGAGUUUUGGAAGUUGUGUUGAAAAAUCCGAAGAAAGAUCUCCCCAAAGCUGGUCGGGCUUGCUGCCCGAAGGGAGCCUCGACGCCCGCGCGCCAGAGUACGUUCGCUCGCGCGCCGCGUGGCCGCCGGCCACCGGCAGCUCGCCGGUGCCCUAUCACCAGCGCGACAGCGACAGGACGAAGGCCACGGCGCCCAACCCGCGCCCGCGACAGGACGGAGUGAACGCCGGGCUAGCCAACCGCCGGCCGCGCACGUGCCGCCUUCCGCUUGCCAUGGCUCUGCUCCGCCAACCCCGUUCCGCCCAUCCGCCGGGAAAGCUGCAAUGCCCACGGCGUCCCGCGCCUCCGCCUGCUCGCCCAACCCCCACGGUAGCCCUCCGCCUCGCCCGCCCGACAGACCGGAAGCCCCAGACGCGCGCCGCCCAAGGCCAAUCGCCGCCGAAGACCACCCGGAGCUCCGCCUCCUCUGCCCAAUGGCGCCGCUGGCCAAUGAUCGCCUUGCCCACGCACUCGCCGCUCCCGGCCUUAUCCCUUCCCCACCGGAGCCCCGCCUCGACCCUCUGCCCCACCCCGGCCGUAUAAAAGGAACCCCCUCACCGGCAAUGCCACCCCUUGCCACCGCCCGCACCCGCGCCACCGCUUUCUCCUCUGCGCCGCCGCUGAGCUUCCGUGGAGCUCACCCCUCUGCGCCACCCCGCACUCCGGCGACUUCGCCGCCACACUCUUGAGGAAGUUUCCCUCUCCGCUCAAACCGCUUCUCCCACGUCUAUUAUACGUGCGCAGGUUCCGUAUGUUAAUGCAUGCGAAGGAUGGUAUGGUUCGAUUCCAACGAGCCUAUCAUCAUGGUUGUUCGCCCACGUUUAUUAUACGUGUGCAUGAUUCCGCAUCACGAGAAUGCGAAGGGUUAUAGGAGUCCAUUCAAAGGAACCUAUUUCCACGGUUGUUGCGCUGUCCAUGCAGCGUUAAAUGCAUGGGUGCCGUUUCUAUAGUGAACGGUAAUGAUUGUGGACGCUUUCCUGAGUGCUGGCAUGGAAGGUUCAAGCUGUGAUGUGUUUUUCUGCAGGUACACUAACAACGUUGCAUUCGAAACGAUGCCUAGUAACUCGACUAGUUAUUAUAGUGAGAGUUGUAUUGUUGCCUUGCCACCGGCACUAACCACGUAAGUCCAAAGAUUUUUGGCAAUUAUUUUUGAUUGAGAGGACAACUAGGACGUGCAUGCAUUAAGAAAUAAAAAUCGCAACCUAAGUAAAUAAAAACCAAACUCGAGUGCGUCGUAAAAAGAAAUGCACCGCGUUAAGGAUUGUCUAGCUGUCCUUUUUUCUGCCAUGCACGGUAAAAUUAAUCUUUCAGGUGGAUCCGCAUGAUAACUCUAGAAACUUUAUAUAUAAGAAAGUUGUGUUAAAAUCUCCCAAGUAAACUGCUGAAAAAUUUUCACAAGGUACUACCAUUUGGGUUGAGAGUUGUGAUCAGUUUUGUGACCCCCUGUUAGCUGUUAGCCCUAAGUGCACACCAGCGGAGUUUCUUCUGUUUCGACCACCUUAAGGACCUUUUCUGCGAGGAGUCCUUUAAGCAAAGUUUUUCAUAACUUAGUAAAGGACUUACUGGUAGAAUUUCAGCUUUGUUAGGUCUCUGGUUUGGAAGUUAUGUUCAGAUUAUCUUGGCUCGAUCUGAAAAAUUCCAGCAUGUACACUUAAUGGAAAUCUGAGAUUACCACCUUGUUAGGUUCUGUUCUAGCCCUACCAUUGAAUACCAAACUUGUUACACACUAUCUAAAGAACAUGCUGGUAAAAUUUGAGAAAUUUUGGAGGAAUACUUGCUGAGUUAUGAGCUUUCUCUAACUGCCAGAAAUCUGUUUGAUUUCCAAGUGUUAAUUCCGUUUCUCACUUGACCUUUGGUUACAGAUGGCGCAGCCCAUGCACAUUGCAGUCGGUACGGAUGGCACCACCUACUCACGGUGCCUUCACUACGAGGGUUUCCCAGCUAUGUUGUGGGACACUCUGCGCUCUUUCGGGUACCAGUCGCCGCCGGUCUAUGCGGGACGUGCGUACCAGGACCACGGGAUUCCGCGGAGCCGCGUGCACGUGCGGGUACCCCCGCCUCCGGAUCAGCCACAAUGGCCGCUGUUGGAGGUGGUGGCCGAGGGACACAAGCUCCACGACACCUGGGAGUUUGCAGCCUUGCAGACCUUGACACAGUUCUGCCGGGCACACCCUCUUGAGAUCGUGCUGGACCCGAUUGGGUUGUUCCCUGCCUGGGAUACGAGGGACCCGGACUGGUUGGAUCGUAUGGAGCAUAUGGACUUGCUCGGGCUUAUGGAUCCACAGCGCACGAUUUUUGUUUCAGCUCGUUGCCUGAACGUGUUCUACAGGAUGGUUGAGCUGCAGAGCCGAGCGAUGGCUACGGUGAUCGGGAUGGCAGUGGCCAACCAGGUUGCCUUGUCUACCGUGCAGAGUGGCAUGGUGGACCAGUCGCUCGAGCUGGUACAGAAGGAUGUCCAGAUUGGUGAGAUGCAGGACAAGAUUACUCGUUUGGAGGAGGAGAUUGUGGAUAUGGAGCACGAUAUGGAGAUCUUGGCUGACCAGUUCUAUGAUGUGAACAUGGAGCUGGCGAACGCCAAUGAGCACCUGCAGGAGCAUCACGAUGAGCUUAAUGCCAUCCACGCCUUAGAGGUGCAGCAGGAUGAGCCGAUGGCCCAGGAGGAGGAGCCUGAGGAGAUCGAAGGCUUUUCGAGCAUGGACUAUGAGGAUGCCUCUCCGCAGCCUCCAGUUGGUGAUGCUCACUCUCCGGUCCUUAGCUUUGCCUCCAUGGGCAACCUCGACGACUUCUAGUUGUGUUGGCUGGUUGUUGAGCGGUUCUCUUUUGUUUUUACUCCUCGGCGACCUAUAUUUUGGCCAGUGAUGUAAUAGGUUAGCUUGAGUUGAGUAUUUGGGUAUUGGAAAAAAAAACUGAUUCUAUGUAGGAUUGUCAUUGCUACCUCUGGUGUAAUGUCUGAAAAUUAUGGCAGAAUUGCAGUGACAGUUUCUCCUCAGUUUUACCCCUGUCUCCACUCAUUUUUGAGCCAAAGUUUGUGUACCAAAGUUGUGCGAAAACUUCUAUCCUAGCUACUCGUAAAGUUUCAACUCCUUCGGAUCUGUCAAACGCCCGCUAGAGCCAAAAUCCCACUGCUCAGCUUGCUGAAAAAUCAAUUGGACAGCAACCUGCUAGAACAUCUAAACGACCUCUUUCCCUUCCUUUUCGGUCAACAAGUGUAACCUGAAGGUGGUUGUGAACAACAUAUACUAACCCUCGCUUAACGAUGAGAACCAUGUGCCCUUCAAAGAAGAGAUAUGCAAAGUUGAUUGUUGUUUUUGCACCAUCGGCAAGACUAGCUUUUAUCCUUUCCGCACAUAAUGUUUCCUUAUGGUUAAACAAGAUUUUGGGGCUAUGUGACUAAUGGAAAGGUGAAUCUUGCAGAUGGCACAUCGCACACGCUCCGGCUCCAUUCCCAGUGGCAGCGAGGUGCCUCCCCCACCUCCGCCUCCGACCACCCUCGAGUCGAUCUUGGCAGCUCAAACCGAGCUGUUGAGGCACAUCGCUCAAGGGCAACAGCAGCAGCCCCAGGGAGGAAGGGCCCAUCAACAGCCCCAUGUUGCUCGCUACGAGGAUUUUCUGGGGACCCAGCCUCCUCUGUUUCACAAGACGGAGGACCCGCUUGACACCGAUGCCUGGAUUCGCGCUAUCGAGUCCAAGUUCUCCCUUCUCACCGCCCAUUGCCCGGAUGAGAACAAGGUUCGGUUCGCCGUGCAGCAGUUGCGUGGUUCUGCUCUCCUAUGGUGGGAUCAUCACCACGCCAUGCAGCCAGCCGACCACGUCGUCGGUUGGGAGGAAUUCAAGACGGCGUUCAGGGGCCAUCACAUCCCUGAGGGUCUUCUGGAGCGCAAGCUCAACGAGUUCCUGGCUCUCACCCAGGGAGGCCGCGAUGUCCUGCACUAUGCACAGGCUUUCAAUGACCUGUGUCGCUAUGCAGGCUAUCAUGCGGACUCCGAUGAGAAGAAGAGAGACCGCUUCCGUAGAGGCUUGAGUUUGGAGCUCAAGGAAAGGCUGAAUCCCAUCAAAGUGGAUUCCUACAAUGAACUGGUGAACCUGGCAAUUUCCCAGGAAGAUUGCAUGAGGGCCCUCAAGGCCGACAUGAAGAGGAAGGCCCCAAUGCCGGCACCCGGCCCGCCUGCCCAAAAAUACAGAAUGGUUCCCCCACAAGCGCCUCGUAGGCCCGCACAGCCUGGGAGAUGGGUUGCUCGACCUCCACCGCAGGCAACACCUCAUUUCCCCGGAUUCCAGCCGCAAGGUCCCCGACCUGCUCUUCCGUUGCCGCCGCGCCCAGUCACUGGAAACCGCUGUUUCACUUGCGGGAACCCAGGACACUUUGCCAAGGACUGCCCCCGCGACAAGAAUCAACGACCCGGUCAGAGCAAUGCACUAGGAAACAAGGGGAAGAAGCCGAAGGUUCAGGUCCGACAAGGCUGGCUGAACUUCACCACCCUUGCUGAACUUCCAGAGGGCGCACCAGUGAUGACGGGUACCUUUUCUAUCUAUAACCAACCCGUCCUUAUUCUGUUUGAUUCAGGAGCAUCUCAUAGUUUCAUUGGGACUAGAAUCAGUGCUAAGUGUGGGUUAGAUUUCUGUCACACCAAAGGUACCUACAUAAUCUCUACCCCGGGUGGAAAGGUAGCUUCACACCAAGUGAGCCGCAGAGUACCUAUCCAGUUAGGGAGAACCCUUCUUAAGGAAGACCUGCUUACCCUUGGGAUAGAAGGAAUAGAUGUUAUCUUGGGUAUGGAUUGGAUGACCCGACACCGAGUGACCCUAGAUAUCCCUGCCAGGGCAAUCCAUAUAAAUUCACCCAAGUAUGGUAGCUCAACUAUACACUUACCUCCCCGAGAGUGCCAAACUUCUUGUGCCUAUCCCGUGUCUGAAGCCCGAUUGGAAGAUAUUCCAGUGGUAUGCGAGUAUCCGGAUGUGUUUCCAGAUGAUUUGUCGGGUAUGCCGCCUGAGAGAGAUAUCGAGUUUGCCAUUGAGUUGCAACCAGGUACUGCCCCAAUUUCAAAGAGACCAUAUCGGAUGCCACCAGCCAAACUGGCAGAAAUGAAAACUCAGUUGCAUGAUUUGUUGGAAAAGGGUUUUGUUCGCCCAAGUACAUCACCUUGGGGUUGUCCCGCCUUGUUUGUGAAAAAGAAGGACGAUAGUCUGCGUAUGUGUGUGGACUACCGACCUCUCAAUGCGGUGACGAUAAAGAACAAGUACCCACUACCCCGCAUUGAUGUUCUGUUCGAUCAGUUGGCUGGAGCUAGAGUGUUUUCCAAAAUUGACCUCCGUUCUAGCUACCACCAAAUCAAAAUCCGCCCGUGCGACAUUCCAAAGACUGUCUUUUCUACACGAUAUGGACUCUGCGAGUACUUAGUCAUGUCAUUUGGGCUUACUAAUGCACCGGCUUAUUUCAUGUAUCUCAUGAAUUCGGUGUUUAUGCCCGAACUCGACAAAUUCGUCGUGGUAUUCAUUGACGACAUCUUGGUGUACUCAAAGAAUGAAGAAGAACAUGCAGAGCACCUAUAUACUGUACUCCAACGUUUGAGAGACCACCAACUCUAUGCCAAAUUCUCUAAGUGUGACUUCUGGCUGGACAGUGUUAAAUUCUUGGGACACACCAUAUCCAAAGACGGUAUAGCAGUAGACCCAAGCAAAGUGCAAGAAGUAAUGGACUGGAAGCCGCCCACUUCAAAUCAUCAGAUUCAAAGUUUUCUUGGUUUAGCCGGUUACUACCGUCGCUUCAUCCCUGACUUCUCAAAAAUAGCUAAGCCAAUGACGGAACUGCUGAAGAAAGGAAGUAAGUUUGUGUGGAGCGACAAAUGUGAAGAAGCUUUCCACACCUUGAGACAAUUAUUGACUUCUGCGCCAGUUUUAGCUCAGCCGACACCACUAGGCCAUUUGACGUGUAUUGCGAUGCCUCUGGCACUGGACUUGGUUGUGUUCUUAUGCAAGACAGCCGAGUCAUUGCCUAUGCCUCACUAGCGUUACGACCACAUGAGUUGAAUUACCCUACUCAUGAUCUCGAGUUAGCAGCAGUCGUUCAUGCUCUGAAAAUAUGGAGGCAUUAUCUCAUGGGAACCCGAUGCAACAUCUAUACAGAUCACAAGAGUCUUAAGUAUAUAUUCACUCAAGCAGACCUCAACAUGCGCCAGAAGAGAUGGCUAGAAUUAAUCAAGGAUUAUGACCUAGAAGUGCUUUAUCACCCAGGUAAAGCCAACGUAGUUGCAGAUGCCCUCAGCCGCAAGAUCCAUUGUAACUACUUAUCGGUGGUUAAUUAUGCCGAGACCCUGUGUCACGAAAUGGCUAAACUCAACUUGAAAAUUGUUCCCCACGGCACCUUAAGUCAUAUUUCCUUGGAGCCCACCCUGCUUGACCAAAUAAUUCUAGCACAGCUAGAGGACAAAGAGAUAAACCUUAUCAAAGGGAAACUUGCACAGGAGGAUGAGGGAUAUAAACGUUUCCGACAGGAUUGGAAAGGAGUGGUACAUUAUGAAGCUCGACUUGUAGUUCCAAAUGAUCCCGAGCUUAAGAAACAAAUUCUGGAUGAAGCACACCUUUCCAAGUUCUCGAUUCACCCCGGUAGUACCAAGAUGUAUCACGACCUCCGACAAAAUUUCUGGUGGAGUGGGAUGAAACCCGACAUUGCACGAUAUGUUUCAGAGUGUGAUACCUGUCAGCGAGUUAAGGCAAGCCACUUGAGGGUAGCUGGCCCCUUGCAGCCGCUGCCUAUUCCCUCGUGGAAAUGGAAAGACAUAAGCAUGGACUUUAUAGUCGGACUACCCAAUACCUCCCGCAAGCAUGACUCCAUAUGGGUUAUAGUAGACCGACUAACCAAAACAACACAUUUCCUUCCAGUACACACCACCCACGCCAUACAGAAAUAUGCAGAACUGUACCUUGAUCGGAUUGUUUCCUUGCAUGGUGUACCUAAAACGAUCAUCUCUGAUCGAGGUAGUCAGUUUGUAGCACGCUUUUGGGAGCAGUUGCAGUUUUCACUUGGCACUAAAUUGAUCCGUAGUUCCACAUAUCACCCUCAGACCGAUGGGCAAACUGAAAGAGUUAAUUAGAUUUUGGAAGAUAUGUUAUGCGCCUGUGCUAUUCAUUAUGACAAGAACUGGGACAAGUGUUUGCCAUUAGCAGAAUUUUCCUACAACAAUAGUUACCAAGAUAGCCUGAAAAUGGCACCUUUCGAGGCCUUUUAUGGACGUACAUGCCGAACCCCACUAAGCUGGUCGCAACCCGGAGAGCGAACGGUGUAUGGACCUGACCUGGUCAUGGAGGCCGAAGAAAAAGUGAGAGUUAUCCGCAAAAAUCUCAAGGCCGCCCAGUCUCGACAGAAGAGCUAUUCCGAUCAAAGAAGAAGACCCAUCCAAUUAAAGGUUGGGGAUUUUGUAUACCUACAGGUUUCACCGACCAAAGGCGUACAACGUUUUGGAGUAAAGGGAAAGUUAGCUCCGCGCUAUAUUGGCCCCUAUGAGAUCGUAGAGGUGUGUGGACCCAUAGCGUAUCGAAUUAAACUUCCAGAGAAGAUCGCAGCGAUACACGAUGUUUUCCAUGUCUCGCAACUCAAGAAGUGCAUCAGGAUUCCAACUGAAAUCAUUGCCCCGGAAGAAUUAGAGAUCGAACCCGAUUUAUCAUAUAAGGAGUAUCCUGUUAAGAUCCUCGACCGGAAGGAAAGGCAUACUCGUUGGCAGAUGGUAAAAAUGUACAAAAUUCAGUGGAGUAACCAUACGGAAGACGAAGCGACAUGGGAGACGGAAGAGUAUCUCAACGCUAACUUCCGCGGUUUUCUUUUCGAUCAGGGAGGUACGUUGCACCAGCCACACUAGUUCUUUCUGCACUUGAAUCUCGGGGCGAGAUUCCCUUAAGGGGGGUAGGCUGUAACAACUCUCCCUAAAUUAAGUGCUUUUAACUAUAAACCAGUGAUAAAUCCCUAAUUAAAGAAGUGAAAUGACCUUUAUAACCCUAAUAAGCUCUUUUUGGAGUUUGAAAUAAAGCUUGAAAUUUUAUAUACAAACUUAAGUUUCUGCCCAAAUGAGAGUUUUAAAACUUUUUAAUUCAAACAUCUUUUGUUAAAGGCACUUUGACUAAUUCGGAGCGGAAGGGAGUCAAAAAUAGCAAUCAAAACCGGUUUACUAAAGGACCCUAAAAAUCUGGAAUUCGAGUUUUCCUCCAUCUUUGCAAGCUUUCAUCUCACAAAUUCCUAUCUAAACUCGAGUCCGGGCCUUAAUGAAAGUUGUAGUACCUCGAGUGUGUUCCAACCUUGUUACACUGACCCAGAUCCAAAUCCGGCCCGAACCUGUUCAAAACCCCGGUCAAAGUCAGGUAAAACAGUCAACUCACCCCUGAUGCCUUAAAAUCCCAAGUCUGGAAUUCCAGAUUUUUGGCUAACUUUGGCAUGAAAUAUCUUCGAAUCCUCUCACAAUCUAAACCGACACCUUCAACAAAGUUCGAAGAACGUCUAGACUUGAGCAAGUUUGUUUAAAAGAGUUUUGGAAGUUGUGUUGAAAAAUCCGAAGAAAGAUCUCCCCAAAGCUGGUCGGGCUUGCUGCCCGAAGGGAGCCUCGACGCCCACGCGCCAGAGCACGUUCGAUCGCGCGCCGCGUGGCCGCCGGCCACCGGCAGCUCGCCGGUGCCCUAUCACCAGCGCGACAGCGACAGGACGAAGGCCAUGCCCAACCCACGCCCGCGACAGGACGGGGCGAACGCCGGGCUAGCCAACCGACAGCCGCGCGCGUGCCGCCUUCCGCUUGCCAUGGCUCUGCUCCGUCAACCCCGUUCCGCCCGUCCGCCGGGAAAGCUGCAACGCCCAUGGCAUCCCGCGCCUCCGCCUGCUCGCCCAACCCCCACGGUAGCCCUUCGCCUCGCCCGCCCGACAGAUCGGAAGCCCCAGACGCGCGCCGCCCAAGGCCAAUCAUCGCCGAAGACCACCCGGAGCUCCACCUCCUCUGCCCAAUGGCGCCGCUGGCCAAUGACCGCCUUGCCCGCGCACUCGCCGCUCCCGGCCUUAUCCCUUCCCCACCGGAGCCCCGCCUCGACCCUCCGCCCCACCCCGGCCGUAUAAAAGGGACCCCCUCACCGGCAAUGCCACCCCUUGCCACCGCCCGCACCCGCGCCACCACUUUCUCCUCUGCGCCGCCGCUGAGCUUCCAUGGAGCUCACCCCUCUGCGCCAUCCCGCACGCCGGCGACUUCGCCGCCACACUCUUGAGGAAGUUUCCCUCUCCGCUCAAACCGCUUCUCCCAACCCACCCACCGCCUGUUCCUCCGCGCGGUACUAGAGCUUGCUAGUUGUCCACAUGAAGCUCCGCCACCGCCGGAGCACCGUUGAAGCCUCGCCACCGCCCAAGCCUUAGUACGUACGACCUUCCGCCCAAGUCUACUCCUUUUCGACCCCAAGGCUUCACCGGUAGACCUGGAGGUAAGCCGCCGACCCCUUUUUUUUCGUUUCGCCCGACCCCUUUCUGUUCGGUUCGCCCGACCCCCUUCUGUUCGGUCGCCUGACCCCUUUAUUUUCGUCUCGCCCGACCCUGUCAGUUUUGCCGACCUUUCCCCGCCUCGCCCGAGGGCUCGGCUGUAUCUUUUUCUUUGACCCGAGGGUAUCGGUGAAUUUUUUUUUGGGGAUUUCUCUGUGUUAAGUCUGAGGACCUCGGUAUGGUUUUUCCUUAAAUCUGAGGGUCAGACCAUCAGUUUCUCCAAAUUUGACCCUUUUAUCCUGUUCUCCACCAACUGAAGUUGGACUCCCCAACCUUUCCUGUAGCUUUGCUACAAGUGUCUGAGUUAAAACAUGCGAGUGUGUUGAAAUAACCAUCUAAAAUGUUUAACCCUUGCAUUGCAUUUCCGUGUAGAGUUAAAUCUCACCGACGGGACUUACGAGCUCCACCCGGCACCGGAAGAAGACCCCGCUGAGGAGCUUCACCCCUUCGAAGGAGAGCCCGAAUCGGAGCAAGACCCCGAGGACCCACUAACUUUUCCUGAAGGCAAGCCCCGGUGCAUGAAUUCCCUAUUUUACUUUUAUGCCACUUAUUGAUGCUUAUGAUUGUGCAUUUACGUUGGUAGGAGUUGAUUGGAACCGUAGAUGCAUAAACUUAGUACCUUGAUUUGAAUACUAGUUGCUAAGGUCGAGUAGUUGCAAUGCUUAAUAGGUCCCGGUAAAAUUCGAGUGAUUUCCUGUCACUCGCGAGUUAUAGGAGUUGAAUGUUUCAGUUAUAUCACAACUAUAAGGACGACGGACGGGGUCAGGCUUAUGUUUGAUACUUGGUGGAUUGCCCCGUCUGUCUAAAUGAAAAUGGACUAAGGUCGAAACGUGUCGACGUUCGUGAUCAAGUGUUUGAAAGUACUAAUCUCAUACCUAGUAUGGGAUGGGGAAGCCUACUACCUGAUUGAACUGGGACGUGGCAUACCCUCCGGCUGUCCUUGGAACUUCAUUCCCAUGGUGCAUCAUGUGGGUGCAAGUGCGGUCACAGUGCAGCAAUAGGCCGGGACUGUGGAGCAUUGCACGCCAAAGGUAGUUGGCCCUGACACGUGCCUAAGGGAUCGAUGGGGAUGGCUGACAAAUGAAGCGACCCUUCGUGGUGCGCGGAUGUCAUGAGAUUAGGUUUUCCAUGCAUGGUUAAUAAAUUCGAAUCGAUUCGUCUGCCUCUCACAGUUUGGGACUACUUGAUCGCUAUUAUGCACUGAGUAAAGAUGGAACAUGAUGAUGAUAUUAAUCUUGAUGCUUGUUCUUUAAUUGCUUGGACAUCAUGCUUGUUUAGUAUAAGUUGCUAAUCUAGACUGGAUAAAGAACAUAGAACAUGAGCUAAAAUGUUGAAAGUAAGGACUGACUUUAAACGCUUUUGGCAAAGAAAACCCCAGAGCCAGAAAGCCUUGCAUGUCUAGGUCUUGGUCGUGUUUUUUUCCCCCGACGGGUCAGUCUUGCUGAGUAUUAGUUGCUCAGCCUUGUUGUGGCUAAUCUUUUUCAGGUAAUAUCAAUAGUUUGGUUGCUGGUACCACUUGGCCUACCCAACUCCUUCCAGGCUGGACAGUCGAGUGGGAUCCCUCCUCGGACGGCGAAGGAAGGAAUUUUUGAUGUCAUGAUCGGCUCCGUCGUGAUGUCAUGUAUCGACGUUUAGCUUCUGCUAGUUUUAUUUGACUUUCGAACCUCGCUUUUCGGUCUGAAUUUCAAAAACUCUGAUGUAAUAAAAUGUUGAACUAUGUUGUCGUGAUGGAAUGUUGUAACCUCUGUGCUACUCACCUUCGCGUGAGCGAUGCUUCUCAAUCCUGUUUAUGUGGUUAAUCGGAUGAAUCCGACGGUCGACCAAGUUGACUUGCUUAAAGUGCAUAAUCGCGUGUCAGGCGACUUUAAUGCAUUUUAGUCAGGUUAAUUUGGGCGGUUCCGCCACAUUGAUGCCGCUUGAAGGAACCCAGAACUGGAGGGCCUAUGUAAAUGCUGCUACUAAGCGCGAUUUACCACUGAUAUUGUUUUGUUGAAGUGUUCUAGAAGAUUGGAUCUAGCAAUCAAUUGCAAGAAGAAGUUGGUGGUGGGGAAGUUAGAGGCGAGGAAGGCCUGGAGAUUACCGAUGGGCAAACUGAAAAAGAUACUGAACAUGGGGUAGAAGAAGAAGAUGCAGAGGAUGCACCCCAUGAGCCAAAUGGCGAUGCUGAUGAGGGGGAACACAUCCCUGGGUUAGUUGAGCAGGUAGAGAGGGAAGGAGAAGAGCAUCUUCAUGCCAUGGAUGAUGACUCGUCAUAUAAGGAUGCUAAUCCUGUCCCUCAGAACUGGUCAAGUUAUGACCAUUCAAACCUAGCAAUAAAUGAAGGGGAAAAUAUUCUUGGGAGUACAGGAAGAAUGAGCUUUGUGUCGGUGCUUUGUACCCUAGUGGGGAUGAGGUGAAGACAGCUAUAAAGCGAUGGUCGACUUUAUCUUUGCAAUGGCAGUUCAAGAUGGUGAAGAGCAGCCGGACAAUAUAUGAUGCGUGUUGAGUCAGAAGCAAUUGCCCGUUUAGGGUGCACGCAUACAAGGGCAAGUGGAAGGAUUACUGGGAGGUGACUAGAUUGGUGGAGCAUGAAUGCGUGCUAGAUGAAUUGGAAGCACAACACCGCAACCUCACUGCUGAUUUUGUUGCUCAAUACAUGUAUCCUCAGGUAGUCGAGAAUCCUAGGUAUGAGCCCAAGUCAAUUAUUUGUGCUAUAGAGGAGAAAUUUAAGUACAAAAUUAGCUACAACAAGGCUUACCGAGCCAAACAGAAGGCGUUAGAGAUGAAGUGGGGUACAUACAAAACAUCAUAUGAUAACCUCCCUGCUCUAUUGCACAUCAUAUGCUAGAGGAAUCCAGGAAGCUACUGCGACCUGAAAGCCUAUCCCUGUGCUCAGAAUCCAGGCAAACAGGUUCUGCAGCGGUCAUUCUUGGCCUUGGGUCCUUGCAUUGAGGCUUUUUAGUGAUGUCGCCCAGUCAUUUGCAUUGAUGGCACGUUUUUGAAUGGUAGGUAUAAAGGCACAAUCUUGACAGCUAUUGGGUCCGAUGGUAACAUCCAGGUGUUGCAGCUGACGAUCAUCUUUGUGGAGAAAGAGUCUGUAGAUAGUUGGUAUUGGUUCUUGAAGAGGGUUAAGCAGAUGAUUGUGAAGGAUGUGGAGGACAUUUGUAUGAUUCAUGAUUGGCACAAAGGCAUUCUACGAGCAAUCAAAGACCUACUAAAUGGCAAUAUGGAACGUCGCAAGACAGCGCAGUGGUCGGACUUGAAGACUAGGUGGUGCAUGAGGCAUACGGAGGCAAACUUUCAUAGCCAAUUCAAAAACAAGAUCCUUAUGAAACUGUUUAAACGGCUACGUACCCAGAAUCAGGAGAGGAAAUUCAAUCUACUUUGGAAGAAACUUCAUGAGCUUACAGAGAAACAAUCUGAAGAGCUAGGUAAGAGGCCAGUAAACAGCGAGGUGGACCACCCUGUGUCUCUAGAGGAUGUCGGACUGGAUGGUACAAAUGUCAGGCAAAGACGGGGUAGGUCCAUUAAGACAUUCUCACAGUGGAUUGAGCAUGAGCCAAAGGAAAAGUGGGCAUUACUAUAUGACAAGGGAGGUGCUAGGGACUGCCCCUUGUUGGUAUUGUGGAAUUAUUUUUAUACUGCACCAUUAAUUAUUUCAGGGAUCGGUACGUGGUGGCCAAUAAGUCAAUAGCCAAUAAUCAUAAAAUUUAUGGAUACAAGAUGACAGAGUACAUGGACAAGGUGAUACAAAAGAGCAUCGUGAAGCUUUCCCUCUAAGAAAUGUCAUCGUGGAAGGAUGACCAAAAUGGAAUUCUACCAUGGAAUGGGCACCCCAAAUGCCACUGCGGCUUCCGUGUGUGGUUGCAAGUAUGGGAGGAUCGAUUACCUCAGGGAAAGAAGGGGUAUAGGUACUUCAAGUGUCCUAACAUUGAUGGUGAUUUCAAGGUCCGUCCAUUCAUAAACAUUUUAAAUAUGUUUUCUAUGUACCGGUAACUAACUAAUCACGAAUCAACAUGCAAGCUUGCACAUUUAUGGAAUGGAUCCAUAAUAGACCUUUAGGGGAAGUGGGCAUAAUCCCAGUGGAGCUAGAGACCAAAGGCCAAUACUAUACUAGGCUGGAAGAGGCUCGAGAGGCGGCACGUCUUACUCGGUUUGAGCAAGAACGACGCAUCCGCCAACAACAGAUCCGUUUGAAGGGCAAGGAGGAUGAACUGUAGAGACAGUGCAAGCAGUUAGAUGCUUGAGAGGCAGCACUGAAAUGGCAGGAGGAAUAAUUCAAAGCUCGUCAGGCGCAACUCCUACAAGAAAAACAGCGACAGAAGAACUUGAAGAAGCAGGAUGGAGAAUGUUCCUCCAAAACAGCAAGGAUGGGGAAACUUCCCCCGUUCACUCAGUAGAACAUUAGUUGUGAUCCACCAAUUUACAUUACCUAAGACAUUCUAUCCUAGGCAAGGUGCUUUUUAGGUUUGUCAUAUUGGGCGCCUCACAUGCUAUUGUACUGUUGUUUGUACUGUGAUAACAUUUCGUCUUGAUGCUUUAAGUACUCAGAUUCCACCCUAUUGCCACUAUACUGCUCUGCUGCCAGUAUAGUACUCAAAUAGUGCUAAUCCAUUAUUGACGUGAACCGUCACUAAAAAGCCUACACAAUACACCGCAAGGAUCCUAAACGUGAGCCUUCUCAGGCAGAUGGGACUCCACACUGAGCCCUACGUUCCUGCACCUACAAAGCCUAUAUCUAAGCUUUUUCAGGAUGAUUGAACACAACGGGGUACUAAACAAAUGGAGGCACAAUGCAUCUCCAUCUUAACACUUCCUAUAUGAACCUCCCUCUCCCGUAUCCUUCCACACCACUGAGUAGGAGGAAGAACAAUGGCAUCAGCAAGAAAGAGAGGUUGUAGGAGGAGGGGAUGUUCUUAUUCCCACCAUCACUUGGCUAGGUUCUUUUGGCCAACGGAGUAUGAGGAACCCCUCGACGACUUCACUCUGUAUGAUAGGGCUAACUACGCCCCUCCAAAAUGCCUUAAACCUUAUGACAACCGCCAUGAUGCAUGGCGAAUGUGUUACCAUGGCGUGGCUUGCGUUGUGCAACUGUUUGAUGGCUACGGUGAUGGAAGCCGGUGUUUCUUUCGAUGCCCGUAUGACUUGGUGAGUUAUCUUAUUACUUCCUUAAUCUUGCUAAGCUUUUCGUGCUACAAACUAACAUCAUGUUUAGUCUUAUCUUGAUGAAGGAAACUACCGUUAUGCGAAGUGGGUCGAUCCUUCACUUCCUGAGUCAACCCAAGAGUACAUCCACUACCUUAAGUGCAAGAUCUUUGACCUCGAGCGUAGGGUGGAGGAUCUUCAAUCCGAAGUUGAUGCAAAUCCUUGAGCGGUUAACAUGAUUAACAUCGCAGGUGACUUGAUUUGUACCGAUCCAUGGUGCAAAUACCCCUACCACCACAACAAGGAUCGCCCAUCGUCACUGCCUUCCUCUGGGGGUGCUGGAUAUUAUGAGGCUGGGCCCUCCCAGCUCUCGCAAAGCCAGUUCUACUAGAAAGUAGAGAUGGCUUUAUCCCCGACUAUUUCAAUUACCUAAGGCAUGUUAGGUUUAGCAACGGCAUAUGUUUAAAAUAGCAUCCGUACCGCACAUGCCACUACAAUCUAUAAUUAAUUGUUUAGUCUAGAGUCGAUGUAUUUUAUAGUCGGGAGUUAAUUCAAUUUGCAAUAUUUCAUCGAAGCAUGCUCUCUCUCCAAUUUGGAAGUUUCGUAUUGCAACUAAUAAUGAUAUAUUCAAAUAUUUAGCGCUUCCAAUCUAACUUACAUUUUCAUAUCUAAGAAAAAAAUCAUGAAAUCAAAAUAAUAAAAUAAAAUUACUAGAACUUAUAGCCAUCUCACAUGACUAUAGCCGUUCCAACUGGCUAUAGGCUUGUCCACCUCUUACAACUAGCGGAAGAAGGUAGGAGGGAUCUUACCGUUGUUUCAAACAGCUAUAGCCGUUUGGACUGGCUAUAGCCGUUUCAAACGGCGGUAAGGGUCCCUACCCCUGCAUCACCGCCACGUGCCUAACCACCGAUUCAAACGGCGGUAUCUAUUUUUAUUCCUUUUGGACUGACCUACCGCCAUUUGAAACAGCUAUAGCCAUUUCAUCCGGCUGUAUAGGUCUAGUUCUGCUAAUUUUUUGCACGUGUAUUUAUUUUUGUAAAAUCAUAAAAUACAAAAUAUAGAAAUAAAAAAUCGACGAGAUGGCUUUAAAGCCCAAUACGGCCCAUCAUGGGUCGUCUUCCUCCUCCAGCGCCGCCGCCGCCGUCUUGUCCACGGCUUCUCCUUCCUCUCCGGCCGUCCUCCCCCACCUUGCCGGACAACCACUUUGUCUCUAGUGACAGCCGCCGCCGGAUCUGCCUCUGUUGCCCCACCAUCGCUAACCGAGCCGUGACAUGACGCCCCACCAAUAGCCUCCGCCACCGCGGUCGGCGGCUCCCAUCACCUUACUGCACCGCCUUGCUCCCAUCCCACCAUCCCAACCCCGCCCAUCCGGUCAUCUCCCGUCAUCCCGGCCGGUGGCUACCGCCGCCGUCUCGCCCGCUACCACUGCCGGGCAAGCCACCCGCCCCGACCUCCUCUUUAAGCCGGCAAACACCAAAGAACCCCCAACCCCCACUCCUGAAACCCUAACCUCCCACGAUGGUGGCGGAGCGUCACGCCUGAACGAGCGGAUGGGGAAGGGUGUGGAGAAGAAAAUAGAUCGGACGUUCUGUAUCACGCGCACCAAUCUCAAAGAUCGGAAGCCAUAUAAGCUUCCUGGCUUCCGGAAGAUUGCCGCGUCCUAGUGGUGUGCGGUCUGGCCGUCUGGCCCAAUGUGUGCGUGGGCCGUAAGGUUGCGGUUUGUGCCUAUAGGGCUGAGCCCAAUAAGUGUCAGCCCACGGGUAGGAUCCGGUCUCUAGCUGUUGUGCUGUUCAGCGUCGACCGUCGUCGCCGUCGGUUGCCCAUGGCCUCUCUGCUAUAUCAACAUACGGUAACAAUCAUGAUGCACGUGCUGUUGGCCACCGCGUGUAUAGAGUAGACUUUACAUGUACGUAAAAAAAUACCAGAGAAAUCUGUUACAUCUCGCUGCAAUGAUUUAUGCACCAUCCUUUUCAACGCGUGUGUCAUAUGGAUAGCUAGAUUGAUCCUUGAACACUUUAACGUCCACGGAUUCAUCGAUACAUAUUCUCUUUAUAGUAUAGCGUACUAACUCAAUUUCAAAAUAGACAAUGAAUUUAAAUCUUCCCCUGUACGGCAUACAUCAUGAUCAUUGGGGAUUUGCAGAUCAUACACAAUCACAAGUUUUAUUAUACACCUUGCCACCUGUCCGUAUUCUUAACAUAUUUAUUAGUACUUUGGUUAUGUUUAUCAUUAUAAUCAACCAAACCCACUAGAGAGAGCCUGAUGCACUUUCAACUUUACGUGUGCAUAAAAAAACUUGAGAGAAAUCUAUUAGAUCUAGAUGCAAUGACAUAAGCAUCAUCCAUUCCAUGUUUUUUCAAGGAAACACCCCUUUGAUGUAUAAAACAUUGCUAAUGAUUUUUUUCUUUGAAAUGAACCAGACGGAAGAGCUGCCGAUUAUAUUUAAAAAAAAGAACGAAUCCAGACCAGAUAAAACAACAAACAAUAACAUCGACCGGUUGGAUUGGGACAUCAGCACACCCACACAGUUCCAUCGAACUACUCAACUCAAAUAACAAUAACGCAGGAUUGGAUUGGGACAUCAACAUGUGCCGCACAACACAAAUCACCACUCUCGAUACAAUGAAACUAUCUCCAGUCGGUUGAAUUGUGACAUCAACACAUGUCGUACAAAGACAUGAUUCCGCCGCAGCUAAACAACAGCACCACCUCCGGUCACCACCAGCUACCACACCGCUAGAACGCCUCACCCGUGAGGCCUGCCACCAGCUCUCUUUUUUUUUCUUUUUCUUCUUUUAUUAACUCCUUCCUCACUAGCAAGGCAUGAACUUCCAAAGUGACGCCUCCAGGGAGAGGUAUGACGCUGCUGGCGUCACCGUCGCCUGACCAGAUAGUCUAGAUAAACACGGGCAGCACAAGGGGAAAAGGGGCAAAUUGAUAGGCACUUCCAACGAAGUAAACGUCGCCUAAACACGUCACCAUCAUCGGCCUGUAGCAGGCAUGGCUUUCACCAUGAUCCCCGAACCCCGUGCACAGGCUGCCCUCGCCAUACCACGUGAGCCAUUGAUCCCGCCACCAAACUUGGAUGUCAGACUCGGAUGUCCCCGCUGUCACCAGAGGACACCAUGCACGCUGUGAGAGCAGCCGCGGCAACACCACGCACGAUUGCUGAUGAAUUGUUUUUGAGCUGUUGGGAAUGUGAUCAGCAACAAGGCUAGAUUGGUAUGCUUUGCAAGCGCUGUUGGAUGCAAUGCAUUAUCUUUUAUCCUCUAGCCAAGCUCGACUUUACCCUUUUUUUUGAAUUGGGAGUACUGCGGUGCCUCUGGUCCAAGAUGUUGGUCAAUUUUUAGAAAUUAAUAAAUGAAAACGAAUCAUGGAUUGGCCAUGUAAGAUAGGUGCUACUAGAUGUUAGAUACAUGCUACAAGUUUCAUUACAAAUAAUAUUUAAUUAUUGCACCUCGUGGUAUGGGUCAGCAAUUCCAAACAAUGAAUCAAAAAAAAUACUAUUUAAUUUUUUUCGAAACGUAAUAUUUUAAUAUAAAUCGGCCGUCAGAGUGUUAUUUCAAAGACAGCAAAAAUAUCACCUUUGGAUGUUUUCCUUAUUUCUUAUUUUAAUAUCUUCAGGAUAAUUGUCCAUGAAAAUUCAUAUUUUGAAAAGGUGAUGGCAUAGAGUUUUUGUCGGUUGCUGUCGGAGUAUAUGUGCACCACAUAGCUGUAACUGAAACCGUUACGUAUAUUUUGAAUUAGAAAGACAACCACUACCACAGGGGCGAGGAAACCUUCCUGACGGGGAACCGACAGGAACACGACGACAGGGACAGCUACUCAGGAAAGACCAGUUACUCCUGACGGGUGUCUAACAGGAAACAAUUCCCGUCGGCAGCUCCUGACGGGAAGGAACCGGCCGACCAGUUGCAGUUACUGUGGCCGCAACCGACAGGAAUUACCGUCAGGAAACAUAAAAUCGACAGGAACCAAACGUGUUCCCCUGACAGCGGGCCCCGUCAGGAUAGACCUGUUGGCCAACGGGAAUUCAUCAGUGUUCCUGACGGUGUGCACCGAUAGGGAAAACCUCCUGCAUUUUGUAUCUAUUACCAUCAUCAGUUUAAUUCAAAUGGCCCCACAACAUUCAUACAACAUCAAUUUAAUUCAAAUGUCCAGGAUAAGACACAGUACACAUUAAACAUGUCACAUGAGCCAUCCAGAUUAAUUCAAGUAGCACUAACAGAUACAAUCAUCCAAAGUGUCCAUCAUGUCUGGCUAGCACAUAGGCAUAGCAGCAUGCAUGUCCAGCAUGCCCAGCUCCAACACUUUAACCAAGGAGCAAGUCAAGAUCAGUAGUUCAUGAGUCGACUACAUAGGAUGUCAACUGCACAAAACUAGCAAGUCCUACUGCUAGCAAAAGGAGAGGCAUUUUCACUUUCUACCACAUGAUACUACACAAAAAGCAAGUCUUCACAAAAGAAAAGAGGCAUGCUGUACCCUUCACCAUUUCAUUCCAGAGUAGGGUCAUCUUCAUUGUCAUCGUUGCCAUUGCUAGAAGCGUCAUUGCCAUUGCCAGAUGCGCUGAUGCUGUUGCCAGAUGCAUAGUUGCCAUUGCCACAAGCCCUGUUGCCUAAAGUGCCGCUACCAGCACCAUUUUCAGCUUCGGAUGACGACUGACUAACCUGCAAGUAGAUAGAAAUCAAAAGGGUGAAUGGUUGGAAGAACUGCAAUAUAAAUUUGGCUACAUAUGAGAAGCUCAACAUGUCUGAUUAGAUCUCAACUGCUAAAAGCAUUGCACCAAAAAUUUAGUUCCAUCCAGCACACAAUGAUGGACAGUAACAUUUUAACACAAAGAUAGAUUAGAUAUGAACAUGAUGGACAGUAACAUUUUAGACAUACUGGAAUGUGUUUACAACAGUCAAGGGGGGUAAACUAGACCAUAUCUUGGAAUGUGUCUUUAAUUUGACACUGUCAGCAGCAUAUCUUUGAAUCAAAAUUUAUAGUUGAAAGGCCUAAAGCCUCACAGGUAGCCCAGGAGCUCACGCACAGAACACACACAUACACAGUAGUCUUUUUUGUGCUGCAAUUGCUCGCUACCUUUUCUUUUUUCUUCUCUAUUUACACGCAGCCGAGACCUACAAUAGGACCUGUAAUUGAAAGCUAAUAGCUACAGCCAUCACUACCUUGGUUGGCUUAUUAUUCUCACUAACUAGCAGCUGGAAAUCUGCUAAGUAAAUAGGCUCAGUUCCAGGGCAGAAAGUUGAGUUGCAGCAUGUAACACUAGUGAUCAAAUAAAGUAUUCUUGGACAGUAACACUAAUGAUCCUCUGAGAUAUGCAAUGAUCCUAUUUGCAGCAGCAUGUACAGAACAAGAUCAAAUAAAGUGCAUGGUAGUACUGCACCUGCUCGCUUGAUGGUGCACAAGUAUUUGCUUCUUGCAGAAUGGCGACUAUUUCUUCUAGUACUGACAUGUUCAUCUUGGCAAAAAGAUCCUAACAGUGGCACAAUCAGGAAAUGCUUCCAAGAAUCAUUAGGUGGCUACAAAGUGAGUUGAGGUAACUCAAUUACCGGCAUAUGUUUGCACAAAACUAGACCAAUCUGGUAGCCCUUCUCCAGUUGUGCGUUUCGCCUUACAAGAUAUUGAUAAGACCCCGAGUUUGAUUGUCUUGUACCCCUAGCACUUGCUUUCAUAUCACAUUUCCUUAAAGCGCCAUUUGCUAUUGGCACACGGCCAUGAGCCAAGCCAUUCCUACUACUUGGUACAGGGCAUCAGCAUCAAGCUUCCCAUCAUUCUUACGCUGCUCAAAGUCAUUUGGAUGCAAAGCUUCAAGAGUAGCAAAAUAAUCAUCCUAAUAAAGGAAAAACCUCAAGUUAUCUUUCAGAUCAGGUUAUAAACAUUAAAAUUUUGAAAGGAACAAAGUGUGGCAACUUACAACACGCCUUUGGGCCUUUUCUGUUAGGAUUAGACAGCUUUUGCCAUUGCUAUCACAAUUUUUUACACCUGACUUCAUGCAGCAGUAAGUGUUGAUGUCAGCGGCAGCUUCAGGGUCAUACUUCUUUGCCUUGGACAUAGGAGACGCAAUCAGCAACACAGCGGCAAUAACAAAAUAUAGUAGAAACUGUUGGAUAUAUAAGCACUUUUAGUUUAAUUUAAUCCAGAAAUAAUCAUGAAUACGAUGAACAGACAGCAGAUUAAACUAGACAUGUCUACGCAAGAUCUAGACAAGUCUAUCAUUGCAAAUAGAAUCACACAUUCUACCAUACUAUCCAGUGCUAUCAGACUGCAACAGAUCAUAAUAGCUAGUAUGGAAGACAUAAUUUGAGUUAAGAGAUCGUACGUUUCUUUCUUGAUGAAGACCAGCUCCUGGACGACUACUGGGUACAGCAGCCGACGACGAUCAGCAGCCUGACGUUGUUCGCGACGGCGAGUGAGGCCCGAGCGACAAAGAGGUAGACGAGCCGUGGUGAAGGAGUCGACGAAGAACUUGACGAAGCGGAGGAAGCGAUCGAGCAGUCGCGCAGAGCGCUUCCCGAAAACCUUAUUCGCCCUCUCCCGGUGCAGGAUCGCUGUAGGCGACGGUUCCGGAGACCUGCUCUCCCAAUCGCCGGUGCACGCCGACAAUCGGGAUGAAGUAGACUACGGUGGCGGCGCAGCAGCGAGAGGAGGCAAAAACCCUAGCUCGAAUAGAUUUGUUUAUGGUAGAGGCCGGUAGGUCGCAUAUAUAGGAGAGCCCACGAUUCUCACGUGCCCGCGCCCUUCGCCCGGCCCGGCCCGGCGAGGCGAGGCGAGGCGAGGCGAGGCGAGGCGUGGCGUGGCAAGCGAGCGCGCGCGUGUGGAGCUCUUCUUCCCUCCCCACACACAUAGCUUGGAGGAGUGGAGACAACUUUCAUAUUUAAGUUGGUCAUCCCUCCCCUCCACUAGCAAUGUGGGACUAAAGACUUGCACCACUCCACCUCUUGCCCACAUGGGCCUUUGAGAUUUAUUUGAAAUUCUGAAAUUCCUUAUGGGCUAGGCCCAUUAUUUCAACAAUCCCCCACCAGAUCUCAAAUGCCCAUCAGAGAUUUUGCCUGUUUCUCACUGCUGUUUAUAUACUAGUGUUUCGGUGAGGACUGUUAAGUUGAACUCUCGCCUAGAGCUUCAAGCUACAUUCAUCCACAACUUGAACAAUGGACUAAGCCUUGAAUUGCAAGUUUUGUGCGGACAAGUUUCACUCAAAGUCGGGACUAGUACCUGGCUGCCUGUAGCCUACCCCGCGGGUGGGGCAUAUAGGUCGUACCCCUGGUCCCUUCAUGAGCUUAAUAGAGAUCACCCAAGUCUCACAGACUGCGACCUUACAACAGUCGGGCUCAUAUAGGUAUAUUUUUCCAAAAUGUUCUGCAGGGGCAACAUCUUUGCUAAUUAAAGCCAACAAAAUAUAUUAAGGCAGUAGCCAGCCUGCCAUGCAGUGGUUUGAGAGUGUUGCAUCAUUUCUCGAGUGGGUUAGUAGGAUACUCUCAUGCUAUCCCAUGGCUUGUUCUUCCCAGAUCCUACUUCAUGGGAUCUCCGAUCACAUAGGUUGGGUUACCACCACGGUGUAGCUCAUAUGGGUCUCAUACCCAUCUCCUUUGAUGCAUUGUCUAUCACAUUACGUGACAGCCCCUUAGUGAACUGAUCUGCUAAGUUCUUAUCAGUUGAGAUGUAAUCCACUGAUAUUACUCCGGAGUUUCUCAUUUUCCUGACAGAUUUCAGACGUCUCUUAACGUGUCUUGAUAACUUCAUAUUGUCCUUAGAAUUGUUCACUUUGACUAUCAUUGUUUGAUUGUCACAAUUCAUAAGUAUUGCCGGCAUAGGUUUCUCGACAAUAGGCAAGUCCAUCAAGAGUUCACGUAGCCAAUCAGCCUCAACUGUGGCUGUAUCUAAUGCUGCAAGUUCUGCUUCCAUGGUAGACCUCGUUAAGAUAGUCUGUUUGGAUGACCUCCAUGAAACAGCACCACCACCAAGAGUGAAGACGUAUCCACUUGUGGCAUACAGUUCAUCAACAUCAGAUAUCCAAUUUGAAUCACUAUAGCCUUCCAGUACUGCAGGAUACCCGGAGUAGUGAAUUCCGUAAUCCAUAGUGCCAACUAAAUAGCGCAUGACUCGCUCAAGCGCAUGCCAAUCAUCAUCUCCCGGAUUAGAGGUAAACCGGCUCAGUUUGCAAACAGCAUAUGAGAUGUCAGGCCUAGUAGCACUGGCUAAAUACAUAAGUGAUCCAAUAAUCUGAGAGUAUCUUAAUUGGUCUCUACCAAUUCUCUUGUUUUUCCGAAGUAUCAAGCUCGGAUCAUAAGGUGUGGGAGAAGGCUUACUAUCCUUAAAGCCAAACCAGCUCAAGACCUUUUCCACAUAAUGAGAUUGCGUGAGAGUAAUCCCAUUCUCUCCUUUGAUCAGUUUGAUAUUCAGAAUUACAUCAGCCUCUCCAAGAUCUUUCAUGUCGAAAUUUUGGCACAGAAAUAACUUGACCUCUUUGAUCACGUCAAGAUUUGUACCAAAGAUCAGUAUGUCAUCGACAUACAAGCACAAUAUAACUCCCUCACCCCCACCAUGGCGGUAGUACACACAUCUAUCAGCCUCAUUGAUAGAAAAGCCUGCUGAUAUGAGUGUAGUAUCAAAUUUCUCAUGCCACUGCUUAGGUGCUUGUUUUAGCCCAUACAAAGAUUUCAGCAAUUUACACACCUUGUUCUCUUGACCCUUUAUUACAAACCCAUCAGGCUGAUUCAUAUAAAUUUCCUCAUCCAACUCUCCAUUAAGGAAAGCUGUCUUAACAUCCAUCUGAUGGACGAGAAGACCAUGUGAGGCAGCAAGGGAAAGUAAUACUCGAAUACUGGUCAAACUCGCAACAGGUGAGUAGGUGUCGAAGAAAUCUUCGCCUUCUUUCUGGGUAUAACCCUUAGCCACAAGUCGAGCCUUGUACUUAUCAAUAGUACCAUCAGGCCUAAGCUUCUUUUUGAACACCCACUUGCAACCCACAGGUUUACAACCAUACGGUCGAUCAACAACCUCCCAAGUUCCAUUAGAAAGAAUAGAGUCCAUCUCACUAUGGAUAGCUUCUUUCCAAUCAUCUGCAUCUGGAGAUGCAAAUGCCUCUGAAAUAGCUUAGGAGUAUCGUCUACGAGAUAGAUAGUGAAAUCAUCACCAAAGGACUUUGCAGUUCUUUGUCUCUUGCUCCUCUUAGGAGCUUCACUGUUAACCUCCUCAUGAACUGGCUCAAGUGUUUGUUCAGCAUGAUCAGGAAGCACAAUAGGUUCAGGAGUUGUCUCAGCAAUCAUAUCAGAAGAUAGUCUAGACAUACUAUGCAAUUGUUUCAUAGGAAAUAUAUUCUCAAAGAACGUAACAUCACGAGACUCCAUCAAGGUAUUAACAUGAACAUCAGGCACCUCUGAUUUAACCACUAAAAAUCUAUAGGCUAUGCUAUGAUGAGCAUAUCCCAAAAAGACACAAUCCACAGUUUUAGGUCCCAACUUACGUUUCUUGUUGAUUGGCACACUAACUUUGGCCAAGCAACCCCAAGUGCGUAAGUAUGAAAGUGAUGGUUUUCUUCCAAUCCAUUCUUCAUAGGGAGUUUUCUCCUUAUUCUUCAUGUGUACUUUAUUCAGGACAUGACAUGAAGUCAAUACAGCCUCCCCCCACCAUGCCUUAGAUAAUCCACUGGUGUCUAACAUGGCGUUCACCAAGUCAGUCAAGGUGCGAUUCUUUCUUUCGGCAACCCCGUUUGAUUGGGGCGAAUAGGGAGGCGUCCUCUCAUGUACAAUACCAUGUUCUUCACAGAACAAGUCGAAAUCAUUAGAGAAAUACUCGCCACCACGAUCAGACCUAAUUCUCUUGAUCUUUUUCUCAAGUUGAUUCUCAACUUCAGCCUUAUAGAUUUUAAAGUAGUUAAGAGCCUCAUCUUUCGUUUUCAAUAAAUAUACAUAGCAAUAUCUAGACGCAUCAUCUAUCAAAGUCAUGAAAUAUCUUUUUCCACCUUUGGUCAACACACCAUUCAUCUCGCAUAUAUCAGAAUGAAUGAGUUCAAGUGGUGCCAAGUGUCUCUCCUCGGCUACCUUGUGAGGUUUUCGAGGUUGCUUAGAUUGCACACAACUAUGGCACUUAGAACCUUUGACAAUGGAAAAAUUCGGAAUUAAACACAGGCUGGAAAGUCGAGACAUAGAACCAAAAUUCAGAUGACAUAAACGUGAAUGCCAAACACUAGCAUCACUCUCAUUAAUACCAUCACAAAUAUAGUUCACAGACUUAUUGCAAUAAUCUGAAAGGGAAAAGCGGAACAAGCCUCCGCACUCAUAGCCUUUACCAAUAAAUUGUCCACUCUUAGACACGACAAUUUUAUUAGACUCAAGCACUACCUUAAAACCAUCCCUACACAAAAGGGAGUCACUAACUAGAUUCUUCCUGAUAGAAGGGACAUGUUGCACGUUCUUCAGUUGCACGAUCUUUUCCCAAAGUAAACUUCAGAUCUACCGUACCAACACCAUGAACAGAAGCAUGUGACCCAUUCCCCAUUAGGACGGAGGAAUCCCGAGCGACCUGGUAAGAUGAAAAUAAGGAGGCAUCCGCACACACAUGAACAUUAGCACCAGUAUCAAGCCACCAAGUGUUAGUAGACUGAAACAUUGAAAAAACAGAAGGUAAAUUACCAUACCCACUAUUUCCGUCUCCAGCGCUGGUCACCAUGGUCACAGACUUCUGCUGUGGAGGUUUUCUUCCUUUGCGGUUUGGGCACUUCUUUACCCAAUGGUCAGUAGAACCGCACACGAAGCAUCCCUCGUUCUCCUUGUUCUUCUUCUUCUUGAAGGUAGUGGACUGCUUAGGCUUAUUGUUCUUACCCUUGCCCUUGCCACCAUUGCCAUUGUGAUGUGAUUGGUGCACCAUAUUGGCACUGGUCUGACUCUCAACAGCUUUAGAUUGUCCAUCUUUAGCCCGAGCUUUCUCCUCAACAUCAAGAGACGCAAUCAGGUCUGAAACAGAAAUUUUUAUCCUCUUGUGUUUGAGAGAAGUGGCGAAAUCCCUCCAGGAUGGAGGUAACUUGGCAAUAAUGCCCCCAGCCACAAACUUGUCGGACACGACAAUCUUUAGCAGAUCGAGUUCCUUCACCAUGCACUGUAAUUCAUGAGCCUGAGCGACUACAGAUUUUCCAUCAACCAUCUUGUAGUCAUGAUACUGCUCAAUGAUGUACAGUUCAGUGCCAGUAUCUGAGCCACCGUAGUUGGCAGUCAGAUCGUCCCACAACUCCUUUGCGACCGUGUGAUGAAGGUACACAUCCUGCAGAUGUUCUGCAAGUGCACCAAUCACAGCGCCCAAGAAGAUUGUGUUGGCUUCCGAAUAUUCUUUCUCCUUUUCAGGAGAGAGAACCCCUUCCGGCUUGCCAUUGGACACCCAGAACACCUUCAUGGCAGUAAGCCACAGCGUCGCUUUCACCUGCCACCUCUUGAAGUGCACACCAACAAACGGUGCUGGCCUCAGUGUAUCAAGAAAUCCAGCCAUAAAACUAAAGUGCCUACAAUAAGGUUUUUGGAUUGUUGGAUAUAUAAGCACUUUUAGUUUUAAUUUAAUCCAGAAAUAAAUCAUGAAUACGAUGAACAGAUAGCAGAUUAAACUAGACAUGUCUACGCAAGAUCUAGACAAGUCUAUCAUUGCAAAUAGAAUCACACAUUCUACCAUACUAUCCAGUGCUAUCAGACUACAACAGAUCAUAAUAGCUAGUAUGGAAGACAUAAUUUGAGUUAAGAGAUCGUACGUUUCUUUCUUGAUGAAGACCGGCUCCUGGACGACUACUGGGUACAGCAGCCGAUGACGAUCAGCAGCCUGACGUUGUUCGCGACGGCGAGUGAGGCCCGAGCGACGAAGAGGUAGACGAGCCGUGGUGAAGGAGUCGACGAAGAACUUGACGAAGCGGAGGAAGCGAUCGAGCAGUCGCGCAGAGCGCUUCCCAAAAACCUUAUUCGCCCUCUCCCGGUGCAGGAUCGCUGAAGGCGAUGGUUCCGGAGACCUGCUCUCCCAAUCGCCGGUGCACGCCAACAAUCAGGAUGGAGUAGACUACGGUGGCGGCGCAGCAGCGAGAGGAGGAAAAAACCCUAGCUCGAAUAGAUCUGUUUAUGGUAGAGGCCGGUAGGUCGCAUAUAUAGGAGAGCCCACGAUUCUCACGUCGCGAUCGUGAUCUAAACCGGUUAGGAUUCCAUAUAUCUCGCUGACUUAAAGACCAAGUAACCAAAAAAUAAAACGGCAAAAGGAAGCCGCGCCCCCGCAAGGCGAGGGGCCGGAUUUCGGCGGACCAUUCACGCAGGUGCCGCGCGCCCGCGCCCUUCGCCCGGCUCGGCCCGGCGUGGCGAGCGAGCGCACGCGUGUGGAGCUCUUCUUCCCUCCCCACACACAUAGCUUGGAGGAGUGGAGACAACUUUCAUAUUUAAGUUGGUCAUCCCUCCCCUCCACUAGCAAUGUGGGACUAAAGACUUGCAUCACUCCACCUCUUGCCCACAUGGGCCUUUGAGAUUUAUUUGAAAUUCUAAAAUUCCUUAUGGGCUAGGCCCAUUAUUUCAACAGAAACUAAUGUACAAUUCAGAAGUAACUAAAAUACAAGAUAGAAAGUCACAUUGACUUACCAAAUAUCACUUGGUCUGGCUAUGUGGUCGAGAUCCGCCUCUGUUUUGAGCAAAGUCAGGCUGCAUCCGCGAUCCUUGAGCAAGAUGGCACUUCUUUAAGAAACCUGGUGAGCACCAAUAAGCACAUAUCUUGCGCCAUGCCUCAUCAGAAAUCCAUUCUGGCCAAACCUUCAAAUAUUGUGUUUCACGGAGCAAUUUCUUGCGAGCAACUUUGUCAUUUAGCCGCUGAUCUAGGAAAUCGUCAUAAUAGACCUUCACAGCACUCACACGAAGCUCAUACAUCAUGUUUUUGCAUUGCUUGGCAGCAAAUCUCUCAACAACUUCCUCAGCAUGUAAUCUGUCUUCCUCACUCACUGAAUAGAUACUCGGCACUAAAAAAUAGAAUACUCAGCCCAUGUACACCUAUGCUAAUAAAUCCUACAAAGCUGAACAAAAAGAUGACAUAUGUUUGAACUUUUUUACUCACCCAAAACUCUUCUCUGAAAUGAUCAGCUCAUCCAAUGCUCAUCUCUGGUAAUACUAUAAUGAUCCCAUGUCUUUGCAUAAAAUGUUUUCUUAGGACCAUCUUUAACAAUGGAAGGGUAUUCAAGUUUUAGGAUUUCUGUUAUUUGACCACCAAUCACUAUUUUCUUAUCAGAUGAAUCGUUCACAAACUUAAAUUGUCUAUGAGAAAAAGUGAAGACUUAUUAUAGGAUAGCAACAUUAUACAAGAAAAUUUGUGGACAGUAAUACUACAUAUCCAUUAACUAGAAAAGAAAACCACUACUAAAGCAUUAACAUAGACAACCACUAGUGAACCACUACUGAAACAUUAACUAGGCAAUGAAACGAAUCAAUUCUAUGAAUUUCCCAAAGAAAAAGGGUAUCAGAAGAUGUACUCACUCAUCUCCAACAUGUUUAAUAGGAGUCUGUUAGCCAUUUGGGGGUCUUUUUAGCUUGGUAGGUCCCCUCUUCUUCUUUCUUUGGCUUCCUUGCUAUUUGCAAUGGCACUUGGGAAGAGGGCGGCGGCGAUAGUGGGGGGGAACGGCGGAGGGGAAGCAGCGGUAGUGGGGGAGGGACAAUGGCAGGGGAGCGGCGGUCGGGGGAGCAGCGGUCGUGGUGGAUGGACGGCGUCGGGGGAGUGGCGGUCCAGCGGAGGGACGGCGUCAGGGCCUUGGGGGAGCGGCGGCGGGGAUGCGCACGUUGGCCGAGCGGUUGCUGACGCUCUUUAUUGACACACUUUUUCCCAUGUUUAUCUUUAAUAAUGACAUGAAUUUAAUACAUAAACUAAUGAUCACACCUAAUAAAUCGGUCAUUUUCACAUGUGCAACAUAUUUUGGAGGAUAUUUUAUUUUUGCAGGAAAUUGUACCUAAAAGCAUAUUUUUGGAUAAAGCACCGAAUGAGCAUCGAACCAGACUAAGACGAAGGCCAACGGGACUACGAAGGGCUUAGGCCGAUCGGCCCAGAGGAGCCCAGGCCGAUCGGCCUAGGGUCCUCUAGCGCCUCCUGAUGCCCAUCUUUGGCAAGCAAUCAUUCGAGAUGAUUUAAGAGCUAAGUUUGUAAAAACAUGGCAAGGAUGACUUCGAGAUCAAAGAAGAAUCAAAAAAGAUUAAGCGGAGAUUUGGAAAGUUAUUGAAGAUCAAUUUCAUCCCGAAGCUACCGACGUGCCAGGCCCACAUGCAAGUGAAAAUAAGACUCCUGAGCAUCUAAGAAGACUUGGGAGUUUCCUUCGCCCCCUCGCCUUCUAAUUUUUACCAUGCGCUCUCUAGACUAUAAAUACCUCAAAAAUCCAUCGAGCCCCAUAUCCAAGAUGAUGUACUCGACGUGAAGCAGUAGAGAAGCAAAACAAGCUUGAGGGACACCUCUCCGGAGAGCCAAGAGCCGUGCAAUUGUUGGGGGUUAGCGUAGCUGAACCUCUGCCGGCGUGAUCACCCUGCGAGGAAGAUCAUACUGGAGUUCUGGAGCUAGCAAUCAUCAAGAUCAAGGUAGGAUCCCUGUGGUGAUCUUGCAAUGUACAAUCAUUCAUGAUGAAGUAAUAGAUGUGUUCAUAUUCUUAGCGAUCUAAGUAUCUCCUUUGAUGAUUUUAUGCUUUAUCGAGUUUGCUUGCUUUUCCAUCUAUGAAUCGAUGAUAUAUUGUUUAGGGUGUUCUUGUGGUCGUGAUGACUAGAUUUGCAUGGCUGAUCUACCGAUGAGUAUGACAUGUUCUCUUGAUCAUGCCCUUAACCUGCUUGCGCUGAUAAAGGUGAUCGUGACAGGAUCUUUCUUAUGUAAGGUGGAGGGUUUCAGGAUCUGGACCGGAGGUGUAGAUUUAAAGAUGCUUUUUACUAGAAUCAUAUCUAUGUUAUUUUGCUAUCCAUGCUCAGAAUUACAACAUAUGCAUAGUCUAGGUUGCUCUAGAUUGGUUAUCUCUGAUCUAUCUAUUAUCUGUCUAUACAUGCUCAGUAGAUUGGAUCUGAAUCUCUCAUAAACACCAAGUUAAUACUAACAAUGCUAGUUGAAAUAGAUCUUGUGCUAUAAGUUCUAUGGAUUGAUAAACCUUAGGAGAAUACUAUGAGGGAAGAGCUACAACUGAUCCGUACGUUUGCGGUUCACAAUUGGCGUGCUAACAGCCGUCAACAGCGGCCAAGCACGAGGUGGCGGUGAGAUUGGGAUAGGGUUCCGAGGGGAGGAGAGGCUUGGGGUAUUUUGAUGGAUUGGUGUUAGUACGUGGGUCCGAGUGUGGGAUAGGGCGGGAUAGAAGUGCGCCCGGCCAAUUUUUUGCCCAAGACUGAUUUUUCGACGCGUGGGAGUGAAAUGCUACGCGGGUUCAGUGCGAGCGCCCGACGGAACAAGGUUUCCUGUCGGUUUUUUCUACCGUCGGGACCACCACAUAAUUCCUACCAGUUUUCCAAUAUCCUGACGGUUUAGCGAAACCGAUAGGAAUUCGGGGCUGGUUUCCUGUUGGUUUUUCCCCUCCGAUGGGAUUGUGCAAGGAUUCCUGUCGGUUUUCUUAAAACCGACAGGAAAAAUAAAAACCGACAGGAAUUUCUAGUUUUCUGGUAGUGAACUAGGAGAGAAGUUUACAAAGAAAACAGACAGGAAAAAUAAAAACCGACAGGAAUCUCUGGUUUUCUGGUAGUGAACUAGGAGAGAAGUUUACAAACACUGGAGAGUGAUGCAGCAAGAAGUCCACACUCCAUAGUCCAUAGUCCAUACUAGGACUCCAGUAGACUACCAGUGCAUCGGAAAAAUCUUCUCCGUUCACUUGAUUUUCACCUAAUCAGGAACAUUCCCCUGAAGGUUUGUACUAGAUUCUAAAGAAACUUCCCUUUUUUGCAUUCCGUGUUGUAAAUUCACAUGAUUUUGGAAUGGAAAAAGUAAUACCAAGUCCUGCAUCCUCUCAAGUUUCAAGCACAAAUAAGUUUCAUAUUCUCCUAAGUAAUUGUUACAUUUGUACUGCUAUACUUGACUUCCAAAUGAACUUCAUAUGAAAGGAAGUGUGUGUUAUGGGGAAAUGAAAAUCACAAACGUGUUUCACUGAACAUCAAAACACGUGAUCGAAGAUGGUAGUAGAAAAAAUGUUCAAAAGUACUAUAUACGGCUGAGUUAUUCCUACUACUAUAUAGCAAUAAAAAGAAAAGAAGGAAACUUCAAGGUAGCUACACCUAUACAUGGAUGUAAUUAACAAGCAACUCCAAUUGUAUUUCCACUGUAGUCUACUAGAAACCAGAAUAUGCAACACAAAAGGAUGUGAUGAACACAUGAUCCAAACUGCUAUAAAGAUUACAGGGUACCUAUGUGGAUAUUGUGUUAGAGAAUGAAAAAACAAGAGAGCAUACAUACUUAUCAUGUAUGAUGUCACGUUAGAAAAAAGAAGUCAAAUAAACAUGACAAUUGGACACUUUAGAAACAUAGGUGAUACAUCACAACCAAAAUUUCUAGGUUAGUCGGUGGUGAAGAGCAAUCAUUUUCUAUUUAGGUGGUACAUAGACCAAAAAUUCUAUGUUAGUCGGCGGUGAAAAACAAUCAUUUUCUAGACGUCAUUUCCUUCCGAGAACGUCAAGAGUGAUUUCUCCCUAUAUAGUUGUAGGAACCAGUAAUUUAUGCAUUGAGCAAAAAUGAUUGAUCAAUAGUUCUAAAGAAAAUAGUGGCAGUUUAUGUAUUUGAAUUCUUGAAAGAGUACAGCUCGUGAGUGUGACAAUCGGGAAAAGAAAAGAAUACCUCCCAGUAUAUCCCAGAGGCAGCGAAGGACAAAGGGCCCGUUCAAACUUUGCUACAGUACUCCGGUAGUAUGUGGCUGUGCUGCUCUUAACUUUGCUAAACGGGACAUGCCGUCCUUUAUACUGCAGGGUUCUCAGUUUUGGGAGGACCGUAUGGUCCAAUAGUUUCUUUUAGACGGAAUGGGCCAUGCACUCUCUUUUUCUUUUGUACAAAAUGGGCCAUGGUUUUUAAACGAUAUGGGCAAUUGUCGCUUAUGAUGGCAACUAUGGGCUCGUCUUGGCUAUGAACCCAAGCCCAGUUCUUGCAGGUGUGGGUGUGUCAGCAGAACUGCGGCCUGGCCCGCACGCGCACGGGCGCGGGGCACCCGUCGGCGCCUCGGCGGCCGCCUGCCCGCCUCCAUCGCGGGCUUCAGGCGAGUACGCGACGGCACGCGCACUCCGCCCCCGCCAGCCAGAACCCUGGCCGCAGCUGUGCGCGCCGGUUCGCCGCCGCGCGUUUGCCACCACGAUGCUCACUCCACCGAUGACCGCAUUGCCAACUCAAUUUCAGGUAUGGAAGCACCAACUCCGACAAAACCUUUUUUUUCACAACCCCUUCUCCCAACUCUCCCAAGUAAACUUGGUGAUGGCAUAUUUAGCAGCAGGAAUCACAUAGUCAAGCAUUACUACAGCAAAAGAAAAAUGGAACACUGUUUUUCCGAUAAAGAAAAUGGAACACUGUAUGUAAACCAGAUUGCGUGAGUUCACAAAUAAGUCAUCAAUGAUGAUUACAGGUGACCCUUGAAAAAAAAAAGGGGAUGGUUACUGGUAGCAAAACUGAAUGUCCUAUAAUUGUCACCAGAAGUCUGCAUAGAAACGCAGCCUGCAGGUUUCGACAUAGCACGAGCAAAGAUGGAUCUGUUGAUAUAUUUUUCAGAUAUCUUUUAGCCAUCAAGACGAGCAAAGUGCAAACAUAAACUACAAUGCAUGGUGAAUUUGCAGGGGAAAAAUCUAAACCAAAACUGAGGAAGCGUGCAAAGAUAAUCCUGAAGUUUGCCAUGAACGAAAAGGUGUGGCACAGACUCUUUCCCAUCAGUCAUAUUACCUGCCUGUGCGAGUUGGGACUGAAAACAGCAAACCUGAAUAUUUGUCGAACAUUUGACACAGUCUCAUAGUAAUUUGAUCGCUCCAGUAACAAGAUAAGGUGGAAUGGAUAAAAAAAAUAAUUACUACAGCAGUCCUCUCUGCUAAGAGAAUGCACAAGCCACUCAGUAUGGCUACUUCCAGAAAGUAUUUCAGCCCUAUUUAUGAUACAUAAGAAAAAAAUUGCAGUGUUAUCCUUUCUGCAAAAAUUCGCAGCUAGAAUGAAGCCUUUACAUCGUUUACUGAUAUCCAGAUUUACAGACAGAAUGGGAGGCGAGGGCGAUUGUGACUGCGGAUGUAGCGCACCAGAUCAUCGCUAUAGUUCUUGUGGUAAACAAUCGCGUCGCUCAGCUGCUUAAUGGCUUCUCUCUUCUCCUGCACUCUAGCUGCUAGCUCUUCUUCUUUCUCUGCCACCGUCUUCUCGAGCUGGACCAUCUUCGCUUCUGCAUCAGCUGUGUUCUUCACCAUUUCUGACACCAAUUUUUCUUUCUCUCUCAACCUGACAGCCAUCUCAUCAUUCUCCUUGACAAGCUCCUUCUGUUCAUCAAGAUGAUCAUGUAGCUUCUUCCUCAGGACAUUAAGCUCUUCACCACAUGCAGAUGAACGAUCAACGAAGAGUGCAAAACUCUGACAGAAGAGUGGUUCUAGCUCGUCCAAUUUGUCAGCCAAUUCAGAGACCCCUGAUUCGGCAUGUCCUUUUACUUGCAUGAGAGUUUCUUCCAGCAAGUUGACUCUCCCAGAAAAUUGUUUUACCAGUUGUUCAAGAUGAUGGAUCUCUGCCUGUGAUGUCUCCACUGCCAUUGCGUAGCUGUCUUCUUUGCAUUUGCUUUCUGCCUCGGUAACUUUAAGCUUCUGCUUGGCUAGCUGGAGUUGAACUUCAAGGUCUUGGACAUCCUUUUGUAGCUUUGUGUUCUCCUUAUUUGCAGAUAAAUUUUCCUCUUCCAGAAGUCGAUGUUUCUCCAAAGUUUCUGUGUGUUUCUCCUCUAGUUGACCUAUCUGCUCAAUCUGAAGCCUCUUAAGUAUCUCGAGCUGGGAGACCCUCGAGGACACCUCAUCAUAUGCAUACUGAAGCCUCUGACAGCUGCUAGCAACCCCUUUCAGGCUCUGGCGGAGAACCACAAGUCCAGCCUCAUGAUCUGAAAUUUUUUGUGUAACUCUAUCUUCAAAUUCCGUCAUAAAUGACAUGUUUACUGUGCAUGCUUCAAUCAUAAUUUUUAGAUCCUCCUCCAACUUGGUCUUUUGAUAAGACAAUAGAUCGAUUGUCUUCUCCAGAUCUUUUGUUUUUGUACUCAUGUCAUCAAUUUGACAAGCUGCUUCAGCCUGAGCCUUCUCGAGAUUCUCAUGUAGGUUAGAUACUUUUAGUAUUGCCUCUUCCAACUGCUUUUCCAAGGUAGAAUUAUUUUGCAGCUGAACUGAAAGUUCAUCUUUCAGCUGUGUCACCUCAUUCGCAAGAUUUUGUACUGAAUCCUCUGAUUGCUUCAGCUUUGUUAGCACUGCAUCCUUCUCUUCUUGUGUAGCCUUAACCUCCUGCUGCAGCUCAGCCUUGGCUUGUUCUGAUUGCUCGGUCAAAGUACAAAUGAUCUUCUGUGACUCAUCAUUAGCUUGCUGUAGAGUUGAAAUGUUCUCGUUUUGGUUUUGAAGGGCAAUCUCAAGAUUUCUGACAGAAGCCUGAGACGUCUGUAACUCCAAUAGCGUUGCGUCCUUCUCUGCACGUAGUUCUGCAAUUUCAGCAUGCGUACUGCUCCUGACUUCUUCCAACUGCUUGUCCAAGGUGGAAUUGCUUUCUAGCUGAACUGAAAGAUCCUCUUUCAGUCGUGUCACCUCAUUCUCAAGAUUUUGUACUGAAGUCUGUGACUGCUUUAGUUGUGUUAGUGUUGUAUCCUUCUCUUCUUGUGUUGCCUCAACCUCCUUCUGCAGCUCAGCCUUGGUUUGUUCUGAUUGCUCAGUCAAGGUACAUAUGUUUUUCUGUAACUGAUCAUUAGCUUGAUCCAGAGUUGAAAUCUUCUCACUUUGCUUUUUUAGCACACUCUCCAAGUUUCUGACAGAAGCCUGAGACACCUGUAACUCUGAUAGAACUAUGCCCUUCUCUGCUUGUAGUUGUGCAAUUUCAGCAUGCAAACUGCUCCUGACCUCCUCCAAUUGCUUGUCCAAUAUAGCAAUGUUGUUCUUCAGAUCUUCAUUAGCUAGAUUCAUUUUUGAGAUUUGCUCUUUUCCUUGCUCCAAUUCAAUUCUAAGAUUCUUGAUAGAAGCCUCAGACUGCUGCAGAUCUGAAAUUAUUUUGUUCCUUUCAUCUUGUAAUGCUAAAAUUUCAGCAUGGUGACUAACCUUCGCCUCUUCCAGUUGCAUCUUCAGGUUGGAGUUACUAUUUUGUAGGUCUUCAUUAGUAAGCUGCAGAACAGAAAUUUGUUCAACUUGUUGUUCUAAAUUGCUUUCAAGAUUAAUAACAGAAGCAGCAGCUUCAUUUUUUUGUCCUUUUACUUCUACAAUUUCAUUAUGCAUGUUAGAAUUUGCCAGCUCUAGUUCUUCAGUAGUCUUCUGCAUAUCUGAAAUCCUCUCAAGUUGUUGUGCUAGCUCAGUCUUAAGAUUCAUCAAAGAAGCCUCUAGCUGCUCUACCUCUGACAUGGCCGAAUCCUUCUCCUCCUGUAGCUCGGCCAUAUUACUAUUCAUAACAUUUCUUGUUGAUUCCAGUUCCUUUUCUAGAUCUUUAAUACUAGACUGUGCCUUCUCUAUCUCAUUCAAGUAUAUGGAAUUUUCUGAUACUAGUCUUUCUUUUUCUUCUGCUGCAUUAUUACGCUCCUUGUCUAGAUUGUUCAUUAGCUCUGCGGCCUCGACUUUCAGGCCAUCUAUCUCCAACCCCAGUUGCUGGAGUUUUCUUUCAGCUGAAUGAUUUUCUGUGAUCAAGGAUUCAUUUUCAGCGGUGAUUUCUGCAAUGGCUGCCUUCAGUUGAAAGCACUCAACAUCUAAAUUCUGAUGAAGUGCUUUCAGGUUAUCAUGCACAACCAACAGCAUCAAGUUAUCAUUCUUCAGCUUCUGGUUUUCUUCCAACAAGGCAUGCACUUCUUUCUCAGCCUGUUGGGCCUUCUCAACUUCUGAUGAUAGGAGGCUGCAUUUGUCCAUUGUAUCUUUCAGCUGAUUCCUCAUAUCUUCCUUCUCCUUCUCGAUGUCUACAAUUAACAUCUUCAGGUUAUCUCUCUCUU